rnacentral:lncRNA from 1 species
GCAGGAUCCAUGGAUUCGAGAUCGAUUGAUCUCUGUGCAUGCAUAUAGAUCUUUUAUAUCGAGCGAAACGAACGGUUGAUUGCAGAGAUCGUUUGUUCCGCUCUUCCUUAGAAACAGAGCCACUUGCUCUGCUUUUGUUCUCUAGUUAGUGAUGAAGCUUCGUGAUGGUGAGGUUAGCUGGUAGCCAUGGUCCAGGUGCUACGGUACCAGUGUCCAAAACGUUACCGCAUACACCUGCCAUGUCUCUCGCAUGCUGCGGAUGACUUUUAGCGCCCGCCUGGAUGGCUAGAUGAUAAGGUGGGCUCUACUAGUCACAAUCAUAUCACACCACCUCACACGGCAGUAUAUAUAUUGGUUGUAACAGAGGGAGUAGCUAAUAAGCACCGUGAUUUCCGAUAAUUUCCAUAUGGGACGCGUCUUGUUGUGAUACCAAUAAUCGCACAAUUUCCUGUCCUUAUUAGAAGGGCGGUGUUGCUUUCCGAAGACUAAAGCAAGCAAUAAUGCAACCUUCGCAGUCCAUUCCAUUAGGUGAUGGUCCUGGCCACCAACCUAGUUUCCUAGUUUAUCGCUUGUAGUAGUAUCUCACUGGCCUAGUUCGCGGCUCGUGAUCGCGACAGAGAGUUAUCAGUUGAUGAACAUAUUGCUCGCCACAAAAAACUACUCCCUCCGUCACAUAUAUUAGAGCAUUUUUGACACUAUGCUCUUAUAUUAUGGGAUGGAGGGAGUAGUUUCUGGCCGUGUUUGGAAUACACAGUUUCUUUUUACUCGGAUAUCACGGAUCUUGCGGCAAUUGACCCUUUUUUCAACAUGAAAUUCCUGCCUCCUAGUUGGGGCCCUGGGAUAUUUUUCAAUUUUGUUCAUCUACCCUACACGUGUAAUGGUAGGUGGCAGUGUAUAGAAAAAAUCAAUCAAAAACAAGAAGACGUCGAUUGCUAUGUUGGCAUAGAAACUUUCACGUAUGCAGACGAAAAAACGCCACCACAUCUUUGGCAACUUGCAGGUCAACAUCGUGCCACCUUCCAAAGGCGUGGUGUCCAUUAAUUUGACUUGACAACAAACGGGCCUCGUAUUCUACGUUAGGCGGCGAACAAAGGUUCAGCAGGAUAGUAAUUAUAGAUAACAAAAGAAAAAAAAGGCACAAGCCCGUGAUCUACUAUUGGUAAUACUAUUUUGUUGUUGACGUGACGAGCUUAUGGAUGAAUAAACCAUCAGGCUGUGACAUUGACAACAUUUGAGCAAACUUGAAUUUAACGGGUGCUACUAGAGCAAACAUCCUUGUGGUUAUGUUAUGCCAGUUAGUAGAGUAUUUGUUUUGGUUAUUUGUUGAGCCGUUGAGGGAGCCGUAGAGUGCUUUUGGCAGCCAGUUGCUAUUACUAGGAAAAUUUCCACACACACAAAAGAAAAAUUUCCACCCGGUUUAAAUUCCCACGGAGAGCAGAAGAAACAAAGGGAAGCUGGACCCUGUGGCCCAUACGGCGGUCUCUUUCGUGUACUCGCCGCUAUCAUUUGUAGGGCCUGGCUGUCGUUUGAUCUUAUCUUAUCUUGUACUAGGCAGAUGCACUAAAGGAGUAGCAUCCAAGGAAUUUCUACACCUUUCUGAAACAAGUUUUGGUGUUCUUUGUACUAAGUCGUUGAUGCUUUACCUAAUUUUGCUUUCUCAAGGGACAUGUGCUUGUGAUGAGUUAGACCAUCUAUUAGUAGUAUUUUUUGUUUGCAAAAUUAAAUAAAUUCAGGAUAUGCUUUUACUCACUGAGAAUGGAGCAUUUUGUUUGUGGAUCCAGGUCUUUCGCUGCAAAGGAUGAGAUCUUCUGCCUGUUCGAGGGAGUCCUGGACAACUUGGGGCGGUUGAGCCAGCAGUACGGCCUCUCCAAGGGCGGCAACGAGGUGCUCCUCGUGAUCGAGGCCUACAAGACGCUGAGGGACAGAGCCCCCUAUCCCGCCAGCUUCAUGCUCUCCCAGCUCACCGGCAGCUACGCCUUCGUGCUCUUCGACAAGUCCACCUCCUCCCUCCUCGUCGCAUCCGUAAGCUCGAUCAAGUCUAAAUUUCCAGCGGGGAGGUUCUUCGUCCAGAUGCAGGGGCCGGGGGUCCUCCUCCUUUUCUAAAAAGAAUUUUUUUUGCUAAUUUUGUUGGUAUUGGUCGAUCAGGGCCCUGAGGGCAAGGUGCCGCUCUUCUGGGGAAUCACCGCCGACGGCUGCGUCGCCUUCUCCGACGACAUCGACCUGCUGAAAGGAUCUUGCGGCAAGUCACUGGCGCCUUUCCCGCAAGGUUGCUUCUACUGGAACGCUCUUGGAGGCCUCAAGUCGUACGAGAAUCCCAAGAACAAGGUCACCGCUGUGCCUGCAGAUGAGGAGGAAAUCUGUGGUGCAACUUUCAUGGUAAGAGGUGGCACUACUUUUGAUGAUUCUUAUUAAUGUACUCCCUCCGUUCGGAAUUACUUGUCGCAGAAAUGGAUGUAUCUAGACAUAUUUUAGUUCUACAUACAUCCAUUUUCGAGACAAAUAAUUCCAAACGGAGGGAGUAGCUUGGAAGGAAUAAGUCAGGGGGAAAACAAGACUUGGGCUAAACCUAUCUGAACUUGUUCGUUCUGCAGGUGGAAGGGUCUACCGUUGUCGCGGCACUUCAGUAGGAGAUUCUCUCGUCUCCGUCGCUGGGCAAAGCAGGCAAGGCCGUUCUCCUGUAUAUGGUGGUGGUGUAAUAUAAUGCAACAAGGCGCGUGUGCUACUCUCUUUGUGAUCUUAUGUGAACUGUUCGGUUGUGUAUCUGAUCAUCUGUAUCUCUAGCUGUUCAAAUUCUCGCAGUGGAUUCAAGACCGGCCGUCUUCAGUUGGAUGUAACAAUUAAUGUAGUAGCAACCAAAUAAGCUUUCUUUCUUUCCAUCUAAAAAAAGGCUUUCUCGAUCUCUGUUGUUAUGCGUGUACCAUUGGGCUCAGGAAAUGUAGGUGCACCUAUGGCAUCUCUAGUCGAUCCCUCAAAGCCGGUAAUGGUUUAACUUUCAGGAGUUAAACCGGACCUAGUCUAACCUUUAUCCGAGUUAACCCCUAAAAAAUUAUUCUCAUCGCGUCAGCCGCUGCUGAUUUUGCUCAGCUACGGCUUAUUAGAGCAACUCCAAUACGGCGAUCCAAACGGACGACGAUUUUGUCUGAUUUUUGUUGUUUGGGUCGGUCGCCCGCCCGGCGUCCGCUCUAUUUUAGAUAUGGGUCGGCAGCGCGCCCAAGGCUAACCAAUAUGUGCCGGUGUGGCCGGCUGGCCUCCCUGUUUUCCAUUGAUGAAUUUGCAUAGUUUGAAUCAAAUAACAUAGUGUGAACAGGAAAUAGCAUAGUUUUACAAGCCGAAUAAAAAUAAAAAUGUCUGACAUAGUUCUCACAUAGUUUUGUAAAUGAAUAAAAGAAGAUACAUCUAUUGGUUGCCAACAUGAGCUCUUUCGGAUUUCGGGUUCUGCAAACCCUUGAUAGAUUCAAACUCUAGGGUGCGUGCGGAGAUCUCAACCUACCAUGCCUGCCUACUCGCGAUCCUCAUAGCCUAGCGCGUCGAGCUCAAAGGGACAGAGAGACAAAUCAGUUUAUCCUGGUUCGGGCCACCUUGCGGUGUAAUACCCUACUCCAGCUUUGUGGUGGAUUGGCUCGAGGGGCUGAGGAUGAACUAGUACAGUGGAUGAACAGCCUCAGGAGGUGAGGUGUUCUUGAGCUCAAGUGAGCUGGUGAAGGAGGAAUGGCUUUGCUCCGUUCGGAUUUGUCUCCCUUUCUAUGGUGGUGGCUAAGUCCUAUUUAUAGUGACCUUGGUCCUUUUCCCAAAUGUUGGCGGGAAGGGAUCCCACAACGGCCAGAUUUGAAGAGAGACAAGGAGUACAUCCUAUCCUAACUAAAGUGGUCUUCGCCUGUAAAAGCCUCUAGUCGUGACGCUGCGGUGGGCUCGGCGAUAACCUCCAUCCUGCCGUCCUGGCGGUCUUGGUCUUGCUCCACCAGAAUGGAAAUCAUUGGCUGAUUCCUCGGAACUCCGCGCCUUCCGCUUGCCUCCUUUGCACCAAAGAGGAAACUGGUGCUCUGUGCCCCCUGGUGCCUGCCUGGCGCCCGCCUGGUCUUGAUCGUCAUGACUCACGUCAGCUAAGCCUCAUGAGGUGCGCCUUACAUAGAAAUCUCCGCUCCUCCGGAGCCAGCCUAAGGAGGCUGAUCCCCUUGGAGGCCUUGGCGUCGUCCGCCUCGCGAGGCUUGGCCCCUCGCGAGGGUCUUGAGUUGUUGAUGCUGAAACUGGGCCGUACCAGGUCGUCGAUGGAGCCAUGCAGUGGGCCGCAGGCAGGCAAGUCUGGGUACCCCCGUAUCCAGAACACCGACAGUAGCCCCCAGGACCAAGGCGUGCUCGAACUUGGCUUCCAGGUAAAGCCAAAGGGCAAGUGCGGAGCGCCGCGGGCCCUGACCGCCUGCGGCCUUGAACGACGUGUGCGAUUGAUGGGACGUGGGCGUCUCCACUUCCUCACGCUGCCUUGAAAUCCGCCAUGCCUGGCGGCCGCCCGUUGCCAGAGCAGACCGCCCCUGUAGAUUGUCGCGCUUCGCCCUCGCUCCUUCUCUUCCCAUGCUUGCAAUCCUUCACGCAGAUCUGGUGCCACCGCUGCUCCCCCUUCCUAGCUUCCACCAUGGCCCCGCAGCAGAGGAAGAAGAAGGGGAGGUCGCGCGCCCCGGCUGGACCCCUGCCGGCCUUGUUGCCGGCUCUCGAACAGUCGACGUGAUCAAUUGGGAGGGGCUGAACAAGGUCUGCCACGCUCUCGCAGCCGAUUCCAAGGAGUGGAAAGCGACGGCCUCCCGGCCCACGUCUUGGCUUGUGGAUGAUAUGAGCGCCACUUAGAUUCCCAUCCAUCUUCAUGCUCUCUUCGCGGGCCUGAUUCCCCUUUCUCUCCUUUCUGAACGCCAUAAUCUCGCACUACCAAAUCCACCUGCUGCACCUGGAUCCCCGCUCCAUCAUCCUCCUUGAUGUCUUCGCCUUCCUUUGCGAGGCCAUGGUCGGCAUUGCUCCUUCUGUGGCCCUAUUUCGUCAUUUCUUCUUGCUCCGUCUGGUCGACGCCCGCCAACGCUCGGGGUGCGUAACCUUCGAAGCUGUUGCAGCGGCUCCUGGCUCGGGGAUUGAUUUCGAGCUAUCGCCACAUGAGAAGGGGUUCCAGAAGCAGUGGCUGUUUGUAUAUGUUGGUACACGCAGUCCCCUGCUUCUGACCCCUCGGGUGCCUGCGGUGAAGGAAAUAUGCCCUAGAGGCAAUAAUAAAGUUAUUAUUUAUUUUCUUAAUUCAUGAUAAAUGUUUAUUAUUCAUGCUAUAAUUGUAUUAACCAGAAACUUAGUACAUGUGUGAAUACAUAGACAAAACAUAUAGUCCCUAGUAUGCCUCUACUUGACUAGCUCGUUAAUCAAAGAAGGUUAUGUUUCCUAACCAUGGACAUGUGUUCUCAUUUGAUGAAAGGGAUCACAUCAUUAGUAGAAUGAUGUGAUGGACAUGACCCAUCCGUUAGCUUAGCAUUAUGAUCGUGUCAGUUUCAUUGCUACUGCUUUCUUGAUGACUUAUACAAGUUCCUCAGACUAUGAGAUUAUGCAACUCCCGAAUACCGGAGGAACACUUUGUGUGCUAUCAAAUGUCACAACAUAAAUGGGUGAUUAUAAAGGUGCUCUACAGGUGUCUUCGAAGGUGUUUGUUGGGUUGGCAUAGAUCGAGAUUAGGAUUUGUCACUCUGUGUUUCGGAGAGGUAUCUCUAGGCCCUCUCGGUAAUACUCAUCAUUAUAAGCCUUGCAAGCAUUGUGACUAAUGAGUUAGUUGAGGGAUGAAGUAUUACGGAACGAGUAAAGAGACUUGCCGGUAAUGAGAUUGAACUAGGUAUUGAGAUACCGACGAUGGAAUCUCGGGCAAGUAACAUACCGAUGACAAAGGGAACAACGUAUGUUGUUAUGUGGUUUGACCGAUAAAGAUCUUCGUAGAAUAUGUAGGAACCAAUAUGAGCAUCUAGGUUCCGCUAUUGUUUAUUGACCGGAAGUGAGUCUCGGUCAUGUAUACAUAGUUCUCGAACCCAUAGGGUCCGCACGCUUAACAUUUGAUGAUGAUCAGUAUUAUGAGUUUAUGUAUUUUGAUGUACCAAAGGUUGUUCAGAGUCCCGGAUGUGAUCACGGACAUGACGAGGAGUCACGAAAUGGUCUAGACAUAAAUAUUGAUAUAUUGAAAGGCUAUGUUUGGACACCAAAAAGGUUCCGAGUGGUUCGGGCAUUUUUCUGGAGUACCGGGAGGUUACCGGACCCCCCCCCCAGGGAGUUAAUGGGCCUUAAUGGGCCAUGGUGGAAGAGAGGAGGAGGCGGCCAAGGUGGGGGCCCUCCCAAGCCCAAUCCGAAUUGGGAGGGGGCCGACCCCCCCUUUCCUUCUCUCCCUCUCCCUCUUCCUACUUCUCCUACUCCAACUAGGGAAGGGGGGAAACCUACACCUACUAGGAGUUGGACUUCCCUCUUUGGCGCGCGCCAUAGAGAGGGCCGGCCCUCCCCUCCUCCACUCCUUUAUAUACGGGGGAAGGGGGCACCCCAUAGACACACAAGUUGAUUGUUUAGCCGUGUGCGGUGCCCCCCUCCACAGAUUUCCACCUCGGUCAUAUUGUUGUAGUGCUUAGGCGAAGCCUUGCGUCGAUAACUUCAUCAUCACCGUCAUCACGACAUCGUGCCGACGAAACUCUCCCUCGACCUCAGCUGGAUCUAGAGUUCGUGGGACAUCACCGAGUUGAACGUGUGCAGAUUGCGGAGGUGCCAUACCUUCAGUGCUAGGAUCGGUCGGAUCAUGAAGACGUACGACUACAUCAACCGCGUUGUCAUAACGCUUAUGCUUUCGGUCUACGAGAGUAUGUAGACAACACUCUCUCCUAUUGUUGCUAUGCAUCACCUAGAUAUAUCUUGCGUGAUCAUAGGAACUUUUUUGAAAUUAUUGCGUUCCUCAACAGUGGCAUCCGAGCUAGGUCUAUGCGUAGAUGUUAUAUGCACAAGUAGGACAGAAAGAGUUGUGGGCGAUAAUAGUCAUACUACUUACCAGCAUGUCAUACUUUGAUUCGACGGUAUUGUUGGAUGAAGCGGCCCGGACCGACAUUACAUGGCCGCGUUCAUGAGACUGGUUCUACCGACGUGCUUAUGCGCAUAGGUGGCUGGCGGGUGUCUGUUUCUCCAAUUUUAGUUGAAUCAAGUGUGGCUACGCCCGGUCCUUGUUGAAGGUUAAAACAACACAUUUGACGAAAAAUUGUUGUGGUUUUGAUGCGUAGGUAAGAACGGUUCUUGCUAGAAGACCAUAGCAUCCACGUAAAACUUGCAACAACAAAGUAGAGGACGUCUAACUUGUUUUUGCAGGGCUUGCUGUGAUGUGAUAUGGUCAAGGCAUGAUGUGAUAUAAAUUGUUGUAUGAGAUGAUCAUGUUUUGUAACAAAGUUAUCGGCAACUGGCAGGAGCCAUAUGGUUGUCGCUUUAUUGUAUGCAAUGCAAUCGCCAUGUAAUUGUUUUACUUUAUCACUAAGCGGUAGUGAUAGUCGUAGCAACAAUAGUUGGCAAGACGAAAACAAUGCUACGAUGGAGAUCAAGGUAUUGCGUCGGUGACUAUGGAGAUCAUGACAAUGUUUCGGUGAUGGAGAUCAUGAGCUCAAGAUGAUGAUGGCCAUAUCAUGUCACAUAUUUUGGUUGCAUGUGAUGUUUAUCUUUUAUGCAUCUUAUUUUGCUUAGUACAGCAGUAGCAUUAUAAGAUGAUCCCUUACUAAAUUUAAAGGUAUAAGUGUUCUCCCUGAGUAUGCACCGUUGCGACAGUUCUUCGUGCUGAGACACCACGUGAUGAUCAGGUGUGAUAGGCUCUACGUGCACAUACAACGAGUGCAAGCCAGUUUUGCACACAUAGAAUACUUGGGUUAAACUUGACGAGCCUAGCAUAUGCAGAUAUGGCAUCGGAACACUGGAGACCGAAAGGUCGAGUGUGAAUCAUAUAGUAGAUAUGAUCAAUAUAGUGAUGUUCACAAUUGAAAACUACUCCAUCUCACGUGAUGAUCGGACAUGGUUUAGUUGAUUUGGAUCACGCGAUCAUUUAGAUGACUGGAGGGAUGUCUAUCUAAGUGGGAGUUCUUAAGUAAUAUGAUUAAUUGAACUUUAAUUUAUCAUGAACUUAGUCCUGACAGUAUUUUGCAAAUUAUAUUGUAGAUCAAUAGCUCGCGUUGUAGCUUCCCUAUGUUUUUUAUAUGUUCCUAGAGAAAACUAAGUUGAAAGAUGAUAGUAGCAAUGGUGCGGACUGAGUCCGUGAUAUGAGGUUUAUACUCGUUGCUGCACAGAAGAAUUAUGUCCUUGAUGCACUACUAGGUGAAAAAACUAUUGCAGGAGCAGAUGCAGACGUUAUGAACAUUUGGCUAGCUUAAUAUGAUGACUACUUGAUAGUUUAGUGCACCAUGCUUUACCGCUUAGAAUCGGGACUUCAAAGACGUUUUGAAGGUCAUGGACCAUAUGAGAUGUUCCAGGAGUUGAAGUUAAUAUUUCAAGCAAAUAUCCGAGUUGAGAGAUAUGAAGUCUCCAACAAUUUCUAUAGCUAAAAGAUGGAGGAGAAUAGCUCAAGCAGUGAGCAUGUGCUUAGAUUGUCUGGGUACUACAAUCGCUUGAAUCAAGUGGGACUUAAUCUUCUAGAUAAGAUAGUGAUUAACAGAGUCUCUAGUCACCAUCACCAAGUUACUGGAACUUCAUGAUAAACUAUAGUAUACAAGGGAUGACGAAAACGAUUCCCGAGCUCUUCGUGAUGUUGAAAUCGACAAAGGUAGAAAUCAAGAAAGAGCAUCAAGUGUUGAUGAUUGACAAGACCACUAGUUUCAAGAAAAGGGCAAAGGGAAAUAAAAGGAACUUCAAGUAGAAUGGCAAGCAACUUUUCACUCCCGUGAAGAAGCCCAAAGCUGGACCAAAGCCAGAAUCUGAGUGCUUCUACUGCAAAGGAAAUGGUCACUGGAAGUGGAAAUGACCUGAAUAUUUGGUGGAUAAGAAGGAUGGCAAAGUGAACAAGGGUAUAUUUGAUAUACCGAUUAUUGAUGUGUACCUUACUAGUGUUUAUAGUAGCCCCUGGGUAUUUGAUACUUAUUCGGUUGCUAAGAUUAGUAACUCGAAAUAGGAGUUACAAAAUAAACAGGGACUAGUUGAGGGUGAAGUGAUGAUGUGUGUUGGAAGUGGUUCCAAGAUUGAUAUGAUCAUCAUCGCACACUCCCUAUACUUUCGAGAUUAUAGUUGAACCUAAAUAAAUUUUAUUUGGUGUUUGUGUUGAGCAUAAAGAUGAUUAGAUCAUGUUUAUUGCGAUACGAUUAUUCAUCUAAGACAGUGAAUAAAUUUUUAUUCUGUUUACAUGAAUAAAACCUUCUAUGGUCAUACACCCAAUGUUGAUGGUUUAUUGAAUCUUGAUCGUAGUGAUACACAUAUUCAUAAUAUUGAUGCCAAAAGAUGCAAAGUUGAUAAUGAUAAUGCAAUAUAUUUGUGGCACUGCCGUUUGGGUCAUAUCGGUGUAAAGCGCAUGAAGAAACACCAUAAAGAUUGACUUUUGGAAUCACUUGAUUACGAAUCAUUUGAUGCUUGUGAACCGUGCCUUAUGGGCAAGAUGACUAAAACUCCAUUCUCUGGAACAAUGGAACGAGCUAGAGACUUAUUGGAAAUAAUACAUACCUAUGUAUGCGGUCCAAUGAGUGUUGAUGCUCAUGGAGGGUAUCAUUAUUUUUUGAUCUUCACAGAUGAUUUGAGCAGAUAUGGGUAUAUCUACUUAAUGAAACACAAGUCUGAAACAUUUGAAAAGUUUGAAGAAUUUCAGAGUGAAGUGGAGAAUCAUCGUAACAAGAAAAUAAAGUUUCUACGAUCUGAUCAUAGAGGAGAAUAUUUGAGUUACGAGUUUGGCCUUCAUUUAAAACAAUGUGGAAUAGUUUCACAGCUCACGCCACAUGGAACACCACAGCAUAAUGGUGUGUCCAAACGUCGUAACCGCACUUUAUUGGAUAUGGUGCGAUCUAUGAUGUCUCUUACCGGGUUACCACUAUCGUUUUGGGGUCAUGCAUUGGAGACACCUGCAUUCACUUUAAAUAGGGCACCAUCAAAAUUCGUUGAGACGACGCCUUAUGAACUGUGGUUUGGCAAGAAACCAAAGUUGUCGUCUCUUAAAGUUUGGGGCUGCGAUGCUUAUGUGAAAAAGCUUCAACCUGAUAAGCUCAAACCCAAAUUGGAGAAAUGCGUCUUCAUAGGAUACCCAAAGGAAACUGUUGGGUACACCUUCUAUCACAAAUCCAAAGGCAAGAUCGUUGCUAAGAAUGGAUCCUUUCUAGAGAAGGAGUUUCUCUCGAAAGAAGUGAGUGGGAGGAAAGUAAUGUUUGAUGAGGUAAUUGUACCUUCUCCCGAAUUGGAAAGUAGUUCAUCACAGAAAUCAGUUCCAGUGAUUCCUACACCAAUUAGUGAGGAAGCUAAUGAUGAUGAUCAUGAAACUUCAGAUCAAGUUACUACAAAACCUCGUAGGUCUUCCAGAAUAUGGUCCGCACUAGAAUGGUACGGUAAUCCUAUUCUGGAAAUCAUGUUACUAGACCAUGAUGAACCUACGAACUAUGAGGAAGCGAUGAUGAGCCAAGAUUCUGCGAAAUGGCUUGAGGCCAUGAAAUCUGAGAUGGGAUCCAUGUAUGAGAACAAAGUGUGGACUUUGGUGGACUUGCCCGAUGAUCGGCAAGCCAUAGAAUAUAAAUGGAUCUUCAAGAGGAAGAUGGACGCUGAUAGUAGUGUUACUAUCUACAAAGCUCGACUAGUCGCAAAAGGUUUUCGACAAGUUCAAGGUGUUGACUACAAUGAGAUUUUCUCAAUUGUAGUGAUGCUUAAAUCCGUCCGAAUCAUGUCAGCAAUUGCCAUAUUUUAUGAAAUCUGGCAAAUGGAUAUAAAAAAUGCAUUCCUUAAAUGGAUAUUUCUUAAAGAAGAGUUGUAUAUGAUGCAACCAGAAGGUUUUGUCGAUCCAAAGUGUGCUAACAAAGUGUGCAAGCUCCAGCGAUCCAUUUAUGGACUGGUGCAAGCCUCUCAGAGUUGGAAUAAACGCUUUGAUAGGGAGAUCAAAGCAUAUGGUUUUAUACAUAUUUUUGGAGAAUCCUGUAUUUACAAGAAAGUGAGUGGGAGCUCUAUAGCAUUUCUAAUAUUAUAUGUGGAUGACAUAUUGUUGAUUGGAAAUGAUAUAGAAUUUCUGGAUAGCAUAAAGGGAUACUGGAAUAAGAGUUUUUCAUUGAAAGACCUCAAUGAAGCUGCUUACAAAUUGGGCAUCAAGAUCUAUAGAGAUAGAUCAAGACGCUUGAUAAGAUUUUUCAAUGAGUAAACACCUUGACAAGUUUUUGAAAGAGUUCAAAAUGGAUCAGUCAAAGAUGGAAUUCUUGUCUGUAUUACAAGGUGUAAAGUUGAGUAAGACUCAAAGCCCGACCACGGCAGAAGAUAGAAAGUGAAUGAAAGUCAUUCCCUAUGCCACAGUCAUAGGAUCUAUAAAGUAUGAUGUGUUGUGUACCAGACCUAUUGUGUACCUUGCCAUGAGUUUGGCAAGGGGGUACAAUAGUGAUCUAAGAGUAGAUCACUGGACAGCGGUCAAAAUUAUUCUUAGUGAUGACUAAGGAAAUGUUUCUUCGUGAUGGGGGUGAUAAAGAGUUCGUCGUAAAGAGUUACGUCGAUGCAAGCUUUUACACCGAUCCAGAUGAUUCUAAGUCUCAAUAUAGAUACAUAUUGAAAGUGGGGGCAAUUAGCUAGAGUAGCUCCAUGCAAAGCAUUGUAGACAUAGAAUAUUUGGAAAAUACAUACGGCUCUAAUUGUGACAGACCCGUUGACUAAACUUCUCUCAUGAGCAAAACAUGAUCACACCUUAGUACUCUUUGGGUGCUAAUCACAUAGCGAUAUGAACUAGAUUAUUGACUCAAGUAAACCCUUUGGGUGUUGAUCACAUGGCGAUGUGAACUAUGGGUGUUAAUCACAUACAGAUGUGAACUAUUGGUGUUAAAUCACAUGGUGAUGUGAACUAGAUUAUUGACCCUAGUGCAAGUGGGAGACUUAAGGAAAUAUGCCCUACAGGCAACAAUAAAGUUAUUAUUUAUUUCCUUAAUUCAUGAUAAAUGUUUAUUAUUCAUGCUAUAAUUGUAUUAACCAGAAACUUAGUACAUGUGUGAAUACAUGGACAAAACAUAUAGUCCCUAGUAUGCCUCUACUUGACUAGCUCGUUAAUCAAAGAUGGUUAUGUUUCCUAACCAUGGACAUGUGUUGUCAUUUGAUGAAUGGGAAAACAUCAUUAGGAUAAUGAUGUGAUGGACAUGACCCAUCCGUUAGCUUUGCAUUGUGACCAUGUCAGUUUCAUUGCUAUUGCUUUCUUCAUGACUUAUACAAGUUCCUCAGACUAUGAGAUUAUGCAACUCCCGAAUACCGGAGGAACACUUUGUGUGCUACCAAAUGUCACAACAUAAAUGGGUGAGUAUAAAGGUGCUCUACAGGUGUCUCUGAAGGUGUUUGUUGGGUUGGCAUAGAUCGAUAUUGGGAUUUGUCACUCCGUGUUUCGGAGAGGUAUCUCUGGGCCCUCUCGGUAGUACUCAUCACUAUAAGCCUUGCAAGAAUUGUGACUAAUGAGUUAGUUGCGGGAUGAAGUAUUAUGGAACGAGUAAAGAGACUUGCCUGUAACGAGAUUGAACUAGGUAUUGAGAUACGGACGAUCGAAUCUCGGGCAAGGAACAUACAGAUCACAAAGGGAACAACAUAUGUUGUUAUGCGGUUUGACCGAUAAAGAUCUUCGUAGAAUAUGUAGGAACCAAUAUGAGCAUCCAGGUUCUGCUAUUGGUUAUUGACCGGAAGUGAGUCUCGGUCAUGUCUACAUAGUUCUCGAACCCGUAGGGUCCGCACGCUUAACGUUCGAUGACGAUCGGUAUUAUGAGUUUAUGUGUUUUGAUGUUCCGAAGGUUGUUCGGAGUCCCGGAUGUGAUCACGAACAUGAUGAGGAGUCUCGAAAUGGCUGAGACAUAAAGAUUGAUAUAUUGGAAGGCUAUGUUUGGACACCAGAAAGGUUCCGAGUGGUUCGGGCAUUUUUCCGGAGUACCGGGAGGUUACCGGAACCCCAGAGGGAGUUAAUGGGCCUUAAUGGGACAUGGUGGAAUAGAGGAGGAGGCGGACAAGGUGGGGGCGCGCCCACCAAUCCCAAUCCGAAUUGGGAGGGGGGCCGGCCCCCCUUUCCUUCUCCCCCUCUCACUCUUCCUUCUCCUACUCCAACUAGGGAAGGGGGGAAACCUACUCCUACUGGGAGCAGGACUCCCCCCUUGGGCGCGCCAUAGAGAGGCCCGGCUCUCCCCUCCUCCACUUCAUUAUAUACGGGGGAAGGGGGCACCCCAGAGACACACAAGUUGAUUGUUUAGCCGUGUGAUGUGCCCCCCUCCAUAGAUUUCCACCUUGGUCAUAUCGUUGUAGUGCUUAGGCGAAGCCCUACAUCGAUAACUUCAUCAUCACUCACGUCGUCGUGCUGACGAAACUCUUCCUCGACCUCAGCUGGAUCUAGAGUUCAUGGGACGUCACCGAGUUGAACGUGUGCAGAUCGCGGAGGUGAUGUACCUUCGGUGCUAGGAUCGGUCGGAUCGUGAAAAUGUACGACUACAUCAACCAUGUUGUCAUAACGCUUCCGCUUUUGGUCUACGAGGGUACGUAGACAACACUCUCCCCUCUCGUUGCUAUGCACCACCUAGAUAGAUCUUGCAUGAUCAUAGGAUUUUUUUUGAAAUUACUGCGUUCCCCAAUAUGCGAAGCCCAGCUCCGGCUGGGGGCAUGUGAAGCUCGUCGACUGUCGGCUUACCCGCGUCUGGAAGAGCCAGGCUAGGCUGCAGAAGCUAGGCGGUGACGGCGCCAAUGGUGGUGAAGGAAUUUGUCUAGUGGCGCAUUGCCUCGCUCCAGUGCCAUUCUCGCCGAAUGUGGGCCUUCACCGACACCGAGGACUCCAUGAGGCUCCAGGAGCUGUCGCUGCCUUCCAAGACCCUGAACAAGGUGCUUGAGCUUCUGACAGGCAACUCCAAACUCGCCGAUCUUCCAGGAAAUGGUUGUCUCCUCUACCAAUGCUCGAACAAGGUGGCCUGCGUGGAGCAGAUGCCCCUUUGCGACGAGUGGGGGUUACUCCCAGCGGACCUUGAGGGGCCUCAUGAGAAUGCUAUCCUCGCGGCUCCCUUGCUACUUGAUCCUGUGGCGUGCGCCCCAAGUGUGGAAGCAGGGAGGUGCAUGCCACCAGCCGCCGUCGAGGAGACCUCCGGAGGUCCUGCGCCAUCAAGAGCUCCGGAGGCCGAGGCUCCUGAGGCCCAGGAAAGGGCCACCGCGGGGUUAGCGCAACCCGAUGCUCCAGAGGCAUAGGCUCCUGAGGCUCGGGGUAAUGGUCCCGAGGUGGCUGAUGAUGGGGAGGCGCCUCCUGGUGCUCAUGAGGCUGAUGCCCUAGGAACCCUGCCAAGCGCUCCCUCUCCAGAGGCUACCGCCCAGGGCGCCCCGCCGAGCGCUCCUGCUCCAGAGGCUACCGCCCAGGGCGCUCCUGCUCCAGAGGCUACCUCCCAGGGCACCCCGCCGAGUGCUCCUGCUCCUGGUGAGCGUCCCUCAAGGCCCAGCCGGCCUCGCCUGAAUCUUGAAGCACUCCGCAAGAGGAAGGGAUCUCCGAGCUGCAGUGGUGACGCCGGCCGGCAACUGAAGCUGAGGAAGUACAUGGCUGUGGACGAGUAAGUACCUCAUUUUGCGAUUCCCUGCGCACCAUGCUCUUUUCUUACUAGGGUUUCGCAGCCCCCCCCCCAUGAUGGAAAAGCCUCACGAGAUGCGUCCUUCAGGAGCUCCUGGCUUGCUUCCAACAUGCAGCCCCCGGUGCCCAGCUCUCGUGCAAGGCAUGGGGCCGACUCCAGCAGCUGGUGUGCCGCUAGGGGCCCUUAGACCUGAGCCUCCCGCUUCCUCCUCUCACAACUUGGUCUGUAGAGUGGAGGACGUGUCGAUGGUCUCCCCGUUGAUCACUACUGGCGAUUGGGCACCCUCUAGGCCGUAUUUUUCAGGCUGUGAGGCUGCACCGGCCAGCCCCCAGUCGGAGGCAGGCGAGGCGCUUCCCACUCCUCCGGCAGCCCCCAGGGCCGUAGACAGGCUUGGCCGCGUGUUGGAGUUCACACAUGGGCGUAGUGCUGUCCGCUUUGAGCUCUUUGGUGAGGCGAUGUGUGCGAUGAUCUGGCUUGGUGGAGAGCUUGCCGACAUCGACACCCGGCUCGAGGCAGAGGACCACCGGUUGGCACGCGAAUGGCACCAACUGAAGGUCGGCAUUAACCUCGGGCAGCUUCAGCGUGAUCAAGCCAAUGCGCGUGUUGCAGCCUCCCUUGCAACUUCUCACGAGGCAUGCGCCCGCACUCUGGAGGAGGCCGAUGCCGUAGACCGCAGUCCUGAUGAAGCCGAGGAGCAUCCUGGAUUAAAACGCCGCCCUCGAGCAGGAGAUCGAGGCACGACAGGCCCUCCUAGCUGCGCCGCUGGGCGAAGCGCCUCUCGUCGAGGCGGAGCAUCUGAGACACCAGGAAGACCUGACGCUGGAGUUUGUGGAGCAUAGCCUGGUGUCGAAGCGGCUGGAAGUGUGGGAGUGCCAGGCGGCUGCUAGUGAGGAUGUCGUCGCCGCCCGAGAGGCCCGGGUCCAGCUGGAGGUCGAGGAGAGGGUGGCGAAGGCACAUGCGGACCUGGCUGAAGAGCACCACCUGAAGCCGGAGCUGCUCGAAGCCGAGCUCGAGGGCAGGACCACCGCCCUGAAGGUGAAGCUGGAAUUUGUGGAACAGCACGAGAGGGCCGCCAAGGAGGCUCUGGCCUCUUCUGAGUCUGCCUUGGCUUCCGCCCGCGCCGAGUUAUCCUCCCUUCAGCAGCAGGUCAAAGAUACCGCGUCCCUUGUGGAGAGGGCCGCGAACGAAGCGAACCAUCGCUGGAUGCUGCAGCGUGAGCAUGACUCAGCGCUCGAGGAUCUCCGAGUCAGAGCUAACCGCGCCUUGGGCACCAUCUGCGAUGAGAGCGCUCCUCAUCCGCACAAGAACUACUACGCCAACCACCUCAACUUCUUCAUCGACAUUGUGACCCGCUUGGAGGAUCAGGCCGUGAGGGCCCGCGAGCUGGUUGGAGAGAGGAGCCGGGGUCUUCUUGGGCGCGCGUUCUCGCGUGUCUUCAGCAACCUUCUCGACCGUGAUUCCCACUUUGACUUCCGUGUUGUGCUAGCCCUAGUGCCCACGGUUACCCAGGACAGACUGGCUAGGUGGGUGGAUGACCAUGUGGACGCCCUGGUGGAAGAGUUUGCUCCUGAGGAUGACACGGUUGUGAUUGCGGCCGAAGCAGGUGGCGCAGGCAGCAAUGAUGAAGGGGAUUGUCGCGACGACAUGAGCAGCGCGAGCAGCACAGAUUGAGGUGAUGAAGAGGGCGCAUCCAGCUAGGCCCGCAUUUCUUUUGCUUUAACAUGUAUGACCAAAACAUGAACGCCUCCUCGUGAGAGCAUUUUGAAAGGGGGGGCCUAAUGUAUAUGAUUAUGAAAUGCUUUUGAAGUAGCGCCUGUGGCGCGACCUAGCAGGUCUGCAGCCCUAGGAAGGGUAGUUGUUACAACUUAUCUUUGGUUCUGCAGGUCUCGAGUGAGCCCUGAUGUCGCAGCAGCGCUUGUCAUCUUGAGGCAGGCCUGCCGCAGGCUCACGGGGGUUCGAGCCUCCCGAGGAACUUGCUGGCCUAUCCUAGAGUGUGUCGCGAGGGACUAGCUACCGGACCACGGCAAGGUGCGCGUGUGGUGGCCGCAUCCCUGGUCCCCGGGGGUGAGCCUUUGCAUGCUAUGGGCCGGCCUAAUGAUGCUUGACGCGCGCGCACCGCACCCAGCCCCCGCUUGUGAGGUGCUCAGGGGAGGGGCAGCAGGCAUGAGCCCCGCUCAAAAACACGAAACAGAAAGCGAGAGGACAACGCAAGACAAGAAAGCUUCCCCACGUUUUUCUUUUGGUAAACGCACAAGAACCAAGCUCAUUCCAAAAAGCCGGUGAAUUCGGUACAAAAAGAGAGGUGAAAGCAAACAGCCUCCGGCGCCUAGCUAGUCUUCUGGUCUUGUCACUAGCGCGGAGCUAAGUGCUUCCACUGGACGUGGGCAUAGUCAUUGGGGACAGUGUCGACGGCCAGCACGGAGCAUGGUGCUUCCACUAGGAUGUGAGUGGGAGCCCCCGUGAGGCCCCAGGGCGGCACUCAGGAGACUCCGGGGCGUGUACAGCCCCACUCAUUAUUAUGUGAGAGUGUCAGGAGCGGAGACCUUCACAGGCCGGAGCCUUGCUUCAUGUCGCCCCACGAGGACCCCGCCCUACGCCGCACCCGACACUACAAAAAAAAGACACAUCCGUGACAUUUUGGGCUGAACGGAUUUUUUUCUGACAUGCUUAUGACACUUCUAUGAUGAUAAUUGUGACAAAACCCGGUAUCAUCAUAGAUGUGGUGGGCUCCUACUUCUAUAACAAAAAAUCAUGACAGAAAAUGGGAUUUUCGUCCUGGGCGGGCCGGAGACGCAUCUGCAUGACAUUCUUUGGGUCGUCCAUGAUGGAAAAAUUCAUGGUAGAAGCGAGGGCGAGGAAAAUUUUAGGGAGUUCCCGGGUAUGGAGGGUGGUCGGGGGCCGAGCGAUGCACAUUUCUCUCGUACAUGUACACGCGUGGGUGCGAGGCGUUGGGUUCUAACUGAACCCGAGUGAGGCAUUCGCCUAACUGAACCCGAGCGAUUGCACUGCAGGCUACGCGUUACUGAACCCUAGCGAUCGAUCGAUGGCUGUUAACUGAACCCGAUCGAGCGAUUCCUUCGCUACUGCUGUAACUGAAGCCGAUCGAUGCUGCCUUUGGAUGAACAGUGAGCCUUGUUGGGGGGGGGUUGGAUGAACAGUUCCUGGUGGGGGGUUGGAUGAACAGGACCCCGUGGUGUUGCCGCUGGAUGAACAAGACCCCGAUUGAUCGAGACGGUUGGGGGGUGGAUGAACAUGGCCUCGUGGAGGACUGGAUGAACACGACCCCGUGGAGGGCUGGUUGAACAGUAGCCGGUGGAGGACUGGAUGAACAGUAGCCCGUGGAGGGGUGGUUGAAAAGGACCCCUUGGAGAGGGCUGGUUGAAUAGUAGCCGGUGGAGGCGGGAUGAACAGGAGCCCGUGUAUGAACAGUCGCAGGUGGAGGUUGGAGGAGGUCGACGGUGGAUGAACAGUAGCCCGUGGAGGCUGGAGGAGGUCGACGGUGGAGAUGAACAGUAUCCCGUGGAGUCCCUUUUUGCGGUAUGCCACACCCCUCCCGAUGAACAAGACCCCCAUUUCAAUUGUAGCGCUCCAACACAAGUCCAUUUCCUCCGUUUUGCGGUAUGCCACACCCCGCCCGAUCAACAGGACCCUGUUUCGACCGUAGAAGGUCCAACAGAAGUCCGUUUCCUUCGUUUUUCGGUAUGCCAGACCCUUCCCGAUGAAUUGGAUCUCGUUUCGACCGUGGCCGGUCGAACACAAGGUUGUUUCCUCUAUUCUGCGGUACGCCAGGCCUCGUUUCCAUCGGCUGUUCCGUCCAAGCCAGUUGGCUCCCGAUGAACAUGAUGUAUUCCGACCUAGUCGGUUGCCUCGCAUGAACAGGACGUUGUUUCCCCGUUCCGACCCAGCCGGUUCGCUGCCCGAUGAACAUGACGCCGUUGCUACCGUUCGUUGUCUCUCCAUGUACACAAGCCGUAGUCAUCCGUAUAUAUGUGUGUGAGUACGCGCUCGAGACCCCACUCGUAUCUACAUAUGUGGCCACAUUUUCUUUCUUGCCCCCUGGCUGCUGUACGUACGUGUACAUGCUACGUGCGUGCCUCUACUACGAUACGUGCCCUUCCUUACACGGCCACGGUUCAUCGCUGCAGCCUGCAGACAGACCGAUCGUAUGUACAUACAUGUUCGCUACCAGAAUGAUAACGCUACGUACGCUUCGACCAGGUGGGUCCCAACUGUCAGGCACUUCCUUGCGUGCGAAGAUGUAGCUGGUGGGUCCCAGUGGUCAGGGGGCGAAUCAUUUUUUGCCCUUAAUAUGGACGCACUUCCUUGCAUGCGAAGAUGUAGCUGGUAGGUCCCAACAGUCAGGGGGGAAACGUUUUUCCGUGAAAUACGGUGGCCCUUCCAGUGGGUCCCUGCUGUCAGGUGGAGGAAUCAUUAUUUUUCGCAUAAUAAGGAGGCACUUCCUUGCUGCGGCCAUGGACCCAGCUAUCAGCCUCUCCACGUAUAGUACUCUUCCGAUGGAAGUUGGUCAUUGACCACAUUGACCAUGCCGUGCCGAGAGCACCAAGGUGGUGGACGACGACAAGGCCUAGGAAGGGGACGAUGCAGAGCCGAGGAAGACGCGAUAGUGGAUGCCCAUGUGGACAGGAGUACGAGGGUUCACUAGUUUGGCUGCAGUGUGAGGCUGCCAUCACCGCAGAAUAACAGGGGGUGUGGGUGAGUGGAGGGAUGGCCUGGCCAGCGUUGGGAGUAGUAGGGGGCGGUGAGUCCUCCGCGGCAGCACAGUCGGCCACGGGAGGUAGGAGCAGGCGGCACGACCGGCGCUGCUUUGGGCAGCUGGAGCAAGAAGACCAGAGGUUGAAGAAGCACUACGGCCGUUGGAUGGACAUCGUACAGUAACUGGAGCUAGAAUCGUUCAUAUUGACUAAGUUGACAAAGCCCUUCGUCCCCGUCAACUUAGUAGGCCUAGAAGUCAGCCUCCCACUAUGCUGGGUCCCAGCUAGCAGGGGGAGUAUUCAUUUUGUGUGUGUGUGUGUGUAAUAAGUACUUCCUUGCGUGCGAAGAUAUAGCUGGUGGGUCCAACUAUCAGCGGCCGGAACAUUUUUUCGCGAAAUACAGAGGCGGUGGGUCCCAGAUGUCAGGUGGAGGAAUCAUUAUUUUGCGCAUAAUAAGGAGGCAUUUCCUUGCGCGCGGCCGUGGACCCAGCUGUCAGCCUCUCCACGUACAAUCCACUCAGAUGCAUGUCGGUCGUUGACCAUGUUGACCACGCUGCGCCGAGAGCACCGGGGCGGUGGACGAUGGCAAGUCUAGGAAGGGAACGACACGGUGUCAGGGAAGACUCGACAGUUGUUUCCCAUGCGGUGCGGCCCACCACGUGGCUCCAUCGACAGCCUGGUACGGCCCAGCUUCAGCAUCAACAACUCAAGACCCUCGCGAGGGGCCAAUCCUCGUGAGGCGGACGAUGCCAAGGCCCCCGAGGCGACCGACCUCCCCAGGCCGGCUCCCGAGGGGCGGAGAGUUCUAUACAAGAUAUACCUCACAAGGCUCAGCUGAUGUGAGCCAUGAAGACUAAGGACAGGCGGGCGCAGAGCGCAUGUUUCCUCUUUAGUGCAAAGGAGGCAAGCCAUAGGCGUUGAGUCCCGAGGAAUCAGGCAAAGGUUUCCAUUCUGGUGCAACGAGACCAGGACCACCAGGACGGCAGGAUGGAGGUCAUCGACGAGGCCACCGCAGCAUCACGACCAGAGGCUUUUCGCAGGCGAAGACUACUUUUGGCAGGAUAAGCUGUACUACUUGUCCCCUUUCAAAUCCAGCCGUUGUGGGAUCCCUUCCGACCAACAUUUGGGAAGAGGACCAAGGCCACUAUAAAUAGGACUAGCCACCACCAUAGAGGUAAGACAAGUUGAACUAGCGCACACCACACUAGCUCCCGCGAGCUCAAGAACACCUCACCUCCUGAGGCCAGUUCAUCCAUUGUACUAGUUCAUCCUCAGCCCUCCGAGGCAAUCCACCAAAACGCUGGAGUAGGGUAUUACACCGCAAGGUGGCCCGAACCAGGAUAAACUGAUGUGUCUCUUUGUCUCUUUGAGCUUGUCGCGCUAGGCCUAGGAGGAUCGCGAGUAGGCAGGCUGGGUAGGUUGAGAUCUCUGCACGCACCCCAGAGUUCGAACCUCUCAAGGGUUUGUGGAACCCAUAAUCCUACAAACUCUCAACAUCUUUAACAUUGUUAAACAACAUGAUAUGCCCUCAACAAGUGUCGUAAAGAAUCAGUCCAAAGUUUCUGCUUUUGUUGGAUCAAAGUAGAAUAAGAUCAUUGAUACGUCUCCAUCGUAUCUACUUUUCCAAACACUUUUGCCCUUGUUUUGGACUCUAACUUGCAUGAUUUGAAUGGAACUAACCUGGACUGACGCUAUUUUCAGCAGAACUGCCAUGGUGUUAUUUUUGUGCAGAAAUAAAAGUUCUCGGAAUGACCUGAAAAUCCACGGAGCAACUUUUCAGUAUUAAUAAAAAAUACUGGCAAAAUAAAUAGCAUUAGGGGGCCCACACCCUGUCCACGAGGAUGGGGGGCGCAUCCCCUCCCCCUGGGCGUGCCCCUGCCUCGUGGCCCCCCUGGACGUCCACCGACCUCAACUCCAACUCCAUAUAUUGGCUUUCGCGGAGAAAAAAAUCAGAGAGAAAGUUUCAUCGCGUUUUACGAUACGGAGCCGCCGCCAAGCCCUAAUCUCUCUCGAGAGGGCUGAUCUGGAGUCCGUUCGGGGCUCCGGAAAGGGGGAUUCGUCACCGUCGUCAUCAUCAACCAUCCUCCAUCAUCAAUUUCAUGAUGCUCACCGCCGUGCGUGAGAAAUUCCAUUGUAGGCUUGCUGGACGGUGAUGGGUUGGAUGAGAUUUACCAUGUAAUCAAGUUAGUUUUGUUAGGGUUUGAUCCCUAGUAUCCACUAUGUUCUGAGAUUGAUGUUGCUAUGACUUUGCCAUGCUUGUCACUAGGGCCCGAGUGCCAUGAUUUCAGAUCUGAACCUAUUAUGUUUUCAUGAAUAUAUGUGAGUUCUUGAUCCUAUCUUGCAAGUCUAUAGUCACCUAUUAUGUGUUAUGAUCCGACAACCCCGAAGUGACAAUAAUCGAGAUACUUCUCGGUGAUGACCGUAGUUUGAGGAGUUCAUGUACUCACUAUGUGUUAAUGCUUUGGUCUGCUACUCUAAUAAAAGGAGGGCUUAAUAUCCCUUAGUUUCCACUAGGACCCCACGGCCAUGGGAGGGUAGGACAAAAGAUGUCAUGCAAGUUCUUUUCCAUAAGCACGCAUGACUAUAUUCGGAAUACAUGCCUACAUUACAUUGAUGAACUGGAGCUAGUUCUGUGUCACCCUAUGUUAUAACUGUUACAUGAUGAACCGCAUCCGACAUAAUUAUCAAUUACUGAUCCAAUGCCUAUGAGCUUUUCACAUAUUGUGCUUUGCUUAUUUACUUUACCGUUGCUAUUGUUAUAAUUACUACAAAACUGCUACUGUUACUUUUGCCACUGUUACCAUUACUUCCAUACUACUUUUCUACUAAAUAAUUUGCUGCAGAUACUAAGUUAUCCAGGUGUGGUUGAAUUGACAACUCAACUGCUAAUACUUGAGAAUAUUCUUUGGCUCCCCUUGUGUCGAAGCAAUAAAUUUGGGUUGAAUACUCUACCCUCGAAAACUGUUGCGAUCCCCUAUACUUGUGGCUUAUCAAGACUAUUUUAUGUCGUCGUUGCCGGGGAGCAUAGCUCUAUUCUUUGAGUCACUUGGGAUUUAUAUCUGCCGGUCACUCUGAAGAACUUGAAAGACGAAAGAACUUAGAUUAUCCCUCAACUACGAGGGGAGGUAAGGAACUGCCAUCUAGCUCUGCACUAGAUUCUCCUUCUGUUAUGAGUAAGCUUGCGACACCUAAACCUGCUUCUGCUAUUAAUUCUGAUAUGUCGCAUGUUAUUGAUGAUGCCACUUCUACUAUGCAUGAUACUUAUGAAGAAACUACUUCUGUGCUUGAUACUACUGUACCAUUAGGUGAAUUUCUUGAUGAACAACUUGCUAGGGUUAGAGAGAAUGAAAUUAUUGACAAUGAAAUUAUUGAAGAUAGUGAUGAUGAAGGUUCUCCCCCUAAAUAUGAAUUGCCUGUUGUUCCUGAGGGUUAUGUUAUGGAUGAAGAAACUACUAGAGAUAUUCUUGCUUGCAACGAUAGAUCUGCUCCAAAAAGUUAUUAGUUAAACUAAAACAGAAAUCUCUAAAUGCUAGAACGAAAUAUGACCCUGCUUUUGCUACUUCACCAAUCUUUGUUACUGAUAAGGAUUAUGAAUUCUAUGUCGAUCCUGAGAUAAUUACUUUGGUUGAAUCUGAUCCUUUUUAUGGCUAUGAAUCUGAAACUGUUGUGGCACAUCUUACUAAGUUGAAUGAUAUAGCCACCCUGUUCACUAAUGAUGAGAAAUCUCGCCACUACUAUAUCCUUAAGAUAUUUCCAUUCUCAUUAAAGGGUGAUGCUAAAACUUGGUUUAAUUCUCUUGAUCCUGGUUGUGUGCAUAGUCCCCAAGAUAUGAUUUAUUACUUCUCUUCUAAAUAUUUCCCUGCUCAUAAGAAACAAGCUGCCUUGAGGGAAAUAUAUAAUUUUGUGCAAAUUGAAGAAGAGAGUCUCCCACAAGCUUGGGGGAGGCUUCUCCGGUUACUUAAUGCUUUGCCUGAUCAUCCUCUUAAGAAAAAUGAAAUACUUGAUAUCUUUUAUAAUGGACUAAUAGAUGCUUCCAAGGACCACUUGGAUAGUUCUGCUGGUUGUGUUUUCAGGGAAAGAACAGUCGAUCAAGCUGAAUUGUUAUUGAAUAAUAUGUUGACUAAUGAAAAUAACUGGACUCUUCCUGAGCCAAUUCCUGAGCCAACUCCUAAACCAACUUCAAAGAAGAGAGCUGUUCUAUUUCUCAGUCCUGAAGAUAUGCAAGAGGCAAAGAAAUCUAUGAAAGAAAAAGGUAUUAAAGCUGAAGAUGUUAAGAAUUUACCUCCUGUUGAAGAAAUACAUGGUCAUAAUAUACCACCUAUUGAAUAAGCACAUGGUCUUGAUAACCUAACACAGGUAGUAAAGGUAAAUUCUCUCUAUAGAUAUGAUAAAGUUGAAAUCCCGUAUACUAAGUUUCCUAGUCAAUGUUUGGAUGAAUUUGAUGGCUUUAUGGCUAGGCAAGAAAACUUCAACGCUUAUGUUGGUAGAGAAUUAAAGCUUACAUGAUUGGACGCUUGAGUGAUUAUAUGGCUAGAGUUAAAGGUGAACUUAAACUCAUUAGUAAAUAUGCUUCUAUGGUUACCACUCAAGCAGAACAAGUACUUAAAGCUCAAAGUGAUUUGCUCGAUGAAUUAAAUAAUAAACAUGAUUUUGCUGUUAGAAUGGCUACUAGAACUGGUAAAAUGACUCAGGAACCUUUGUAUCCUGAAGGCCACCCUAAGAGAAUUGAGCAAGAUUCUCAGAAAAAUAAUUUAGAUGCAUCUAGUCCUUCUAAAAAGAAGAAAAAGAAAAAUGAUAGGACUUUGCAUGCUUCUAGUGAACCUGUUCUAGACACACCUGAGAAUCCAAAUAAUAUUUCUAUUUCUGAUGUUGAAACACAAUCAGGUGAUGAACAUGAACCUAGUGAUAAUGUUAAUGAUAAUGUUCAUGUUGAUGCUCAACCUAGCAAAAACAAUGAUGUAGAGAUUGAACCUGCUGUUGAUAUUGAUAACCCACAAUCAAAGAAUCAACGUUAUGAUAAGAGAGAUUUUGUUCCUAGGAAGCACGGUAGAGAGAGAGAACCAUGGGUUCAGAAACCCAUGCCUUUUCCUCCUAAACCAUCCAAGACAAAGGAUGAUGAGGAUUUUGAGCGCUUUGCUGAAAUGAUUAGACUAUCUUCUUACGUAUGCGCUUGACUGAUAUGCUUAAGUUAAAUCCUUAUGCUAAAUAUAUGAAGGAUAUCAUUACAAAUAAAAGAAAGAUACCGGAAGCUGAAAUUUCCACCAUGCUUGCUAAUUACACUUUUAAGGGUGGAAUACCAAAGAAACUUGGAGAUCAAGGGGUACCAACCAUACCAUGCUCCAUUAAAAGAAACUAUGUUAAAACUGCUUUAUGUGAUCUUGGAGCCGGUGUUAGUGUUAUGCCUCUCUUUUUAUAUCAUAGACUUGAAUUGAAUAAGUUGACACCUACUGAAAUAUCUUUGCAAAUGGCUGAUAAAUUAACUGCUAUACCUGUCGGUAUUUGUGAGGAUGUGCCUGUUGUGGUUGCAAAUGUCACUAUCUUAACAGACUUUGUUAUACUUGAUAUUCCCGAGGACGAUAGUAUGUCGAUUAUCCUUGGUAGACCCUUUUUGAAUACUACAUGGGCUGUUAUUGAUUGCAACAAAGGCAAUGUCACUUUUCAUGUUAAUGGUAAUGAGCAUACGGUACACUUUCUGAGGAAACAAUCUCAAGUUCAUAGCAUCAAUUAUAUUGGAAAAGUUCCAACUAUCAUUAUUGGAGGUUUUGAAUUUCCUCUUCCUACUGUCAAGAAAAAGUAUGAUAUUCUUAUUGUUGGGGAUGUUCAUAUCCCCAUUGAGGUAACCUAGUGUUAUUCAAAAUUUCUCCGGUUUCAUGUUAUUCGGAAUGAGUUUGUUAACAAGACUUGAUCAACCUUGUUGGUGGAUUCCUUUUGAUGAUCAUGAGAUGGAUGAAAUUAGAAGCCACAACCUUUUGUACCCUCCUUUUACUUUCUGUUAUUUAGAUUAAAUAAAGUAAAAUAUAUUAUCUGUCUGUUUUCUGAAUUAUCCAUGCAAUAAAAAAUAUCUCGAAAAUAAAAGUUCUCCAAAUGCCCUGCAAAUUUAGUAUGAUUUUUUCUGGAAUAUUUGAGAAUAUUUGGCACUGAGAACAUAGCAGGGGGAGCUGGCACCUAGCCACGAGGGUCCAAGGCUCGCACACCCCUACAGGGUGCGCCCCCUGCCUCGUGGGCCCAUGGUGGCCCCCCUCCACUUAUUCCUGCACCCACACACUUCAUCUUCCUCCCAAAAAAAUCACCAUCCAGCUCAAGCACGAGUUCUAGCUCACUUUGCUGCCAUUUUCGAUCUCCUUGCUCAAAGCUCCAUUCACGAAACUGCUUUGGGAGAUUGUUCCUUGGUAUGUGACUCCUCCAAUGGUCCAAUUAGUUUUUGUUCUAGUGCUUUAUUCAUUGCAAAUUUUUGCUGCCUAUGUGACCCUGUUCUUGAGCUUGCAUGUCAAAUUUAUGAGGUCCCAAGUAAUUCUAUUGCAUGAUAUAGGCUCUAGGCACUUGUGGGAGUAGUUGCUAUCAGUUUUGUUGAGUUUGAUUCACUUCUAUUUUGAGUUACUAAAAAUUUCAAAAAAAAUUCAGAGGAAGAAAUAUGUGUAGGAAAAUGUACCAAGGUCGUUCUUCAAGAAAGAAAGGACCCUGGCUCGCAAUGCGUGAGCAAGACGAUGAACACCAAGGGAAGCAGAAGUAUGGUCGUGUGAAUGGCCUUGUGAUGAUUUCUUGAAAGCAGCCGGAAUUUAUGAAGACUUUUAUGCUUUGGCUGAUAAUGCGGGCCUCACCGACUUCCUCCGCGACCAGGCUGGACAAUAUCUCUUACUCACCAAUACUUUCGUGCAAAACUUCUACUAUUAUCCUAAGAAAUCACCUCCUUUAGUAGCUUUUCAUUUAUAUGAUGUGGCUAGGGAGAUGUCAUUACGUGAUUUUUGCGCGGUUUGCAAAAUACCCUUCGAGGGCAGCCUAGAGGAACCGCAUCGUAAAGAUGUGGAUGGUUUUAUUGAUACUAUUACUGUAGGGGAAUCGAGGAAGGUUUCCGAUGCAAGAAUUACUGGCAUACAUUUUCCUGUUUUACGCUAUUUUGCCAUAUUUGCUAGUCGAUGCUUAAUUGGUCACGGAAACUGUGGAAAUCUUAGUGUUCCUGAUAUUAUUAUUUUAUUCCAUGCUUUAUUCCGUGAUAACUCUGUUAGUAUGGGUGCUAUUAUUGCUAAACGAUUAAGACUUAACCAUACAAAGGGGCCCAUUUUUGGAGGUAUCUAUGCUGCAUGCCUUGCUAAACAUUUCAGGAUACCCAUUAGGCAUUUUGAGAAAGAGGAAAAACUACUACCCCCUACUUUUCUAGACUAUAAGAGCAUGGUAGCACAUGAGUUUAUUGUUAACAAUGAUGAUAAGAUGCUUCUGUAUAAUUUGAGAUUUCAUAAGAAAGACAAUGAGAUUAUUAUCCUGCCUGCACCCUCUUUGUUUGAUUUAACUGCAGGCCGUUACCUCGUCUUGCCGGAGGCCGUCUAUGCGCUCCAUGGCUAGACAUCGGCUCCAUAGCCCGAGCCGGAACCACCACUUGACCAUUAUCGACCAUCAUCUUAUCAGUGGGAUCCGGAGGAGAUCGCCAGUCAGUGGCAGUACAAUGACACUCCUCAGUACACCGGGGAGAGUAGCCAUGAUCCAUGGGCAUAGACCAACUUAGGCCAAAAGCCUAAGCUUGGGGGAGUACGUAUUUCUCACCGACAUUACAUUCAUGUUCACACACUCAUUCUAGUUGUCGGUGCUCAUACUUUUUCAUUGUACUAUCCAUGCUAGUUUAAUUUCUUUUUCUAGAUUUCUUCUUGUGUGUUUAAUAAACCUUAAGAAAAUAAAAAAAAAAUUAGUUAGCUUACUUUCCAUGCUUGUAGUAGUAAUUGAAAGAAAACCCAAAAAGAUUUCUCAUUCUUCUUUUGCUUGUUGGGAGCUUUCCCAUGUAAAUAGUUUUAUUUCUUUUCUUUUCUUUGGGGGUCGAGAGGAGAAGACCAUAAUGAAAAUGCUUAGUGGCUCUCGUAUGCAUGAUUGUUGAUUUAACCAAGAGCCCAUAUUACUUUGUAUUCUCCCUUGAAUUGAAUGCUUGCAUAUUCCAGCUUAGUCCAAUGCACGUGCACUAUUAGUAUUAUACACACCGUUCGGUCGUGCAAGUGAAAGGCAAUAAUGACGAUAUAUGAUGGACUGAUUGAGAUGAGAGAAGCUGGUAUGAACUCAACCUCUCUUGUUUUUGUAAAUAUGAUUGGUUCAUCGUUCCUGAUUCAGCCUAUUAUGAAUAAACAUGUUUGCAAUGACAAUUAGAUAUUAUAGUUGCUUAUGCCAUGCUUAAUUAGCUAGGAGCUUAUAAUGGUUUACCUUGCAUGCCAACAUGCUAUUAAAAUGGUUGUGAUGUGGUAUGAUAGGGUGGUAUCCUCCUUUGAAUGAUUCGAGUGACUUGACUUGGCACAUGUUCACGCAUGUAGUUGAAACAAAAUCAACAUAGCCUUCACGAUAUUUAUGUUCAUGGUGGAUUAUAUCCUACUCAUGCUUGCACUCAGUGUUGAUUAAUUUUAAUGCAUGUUCAUGACUGUUGUCGCUCUCUCAGUUGGUCGCUUCCCAGUCUCUUGCCAGCCUUCACCUGUACUAAGCGGGAAUACUGCUUGUGUAUCCAAACUCCAUAAACCCCAAAGUUAUUCCAUAUGAAUCCACCAUACCUUCCUAUAUGCGGUAUCUACCUGCUAUUCCAAGUAAAUUUGUAUGUGCCAAACUCCAAACCUUCAAAUUAAAUUCCGUUUUGUAUGCUCGCGCAGCUCAUGUAUGAACUAGGGUUGUCUGUAUCUUCCAUGCUAGGUGGGUUAUUCUCAAGGGGAGUGGACUCCGCUCCUCAUUCACGAGAAAAUGGCUGGUAACCGGGAUGCUCAGUCCCAUGAUCAAAAGAUCAAAUCAAAUCAAAAUAAUUAAACAAAACUCCCCCAUGAUUGUUGCUAGUUGGAGGCACCCGUUGUUUCGGGCAAGCCAUGGAUCGAUGUUUGUUGGUGGUGGGGGAGUAUAAACUUUACCAUUCUGUUUGGGAACCGCCUAUAAUGUGUGUAGCAUGGAAGAUAUCAAGAUCUCAUAGUUGUUAUGUUGAGAGUGAAAGUAUACCGCUCAAAAUGUUAUUCAUCUCUAUUUCAGAAUUGAGCUCUGGCACCUCUACAAAUCCCUGCUUCCCUCUGCGAAGGGCCUAUCUAUUUACUUUUAUGUUGAGUCAUCACCCUCUUAUUAAAAAGCGCUCGCUGGAGAGCACCGUUGUCAUUUGCAUGCAUUACUAUUAGUUUAUAUUGGGUAUGACUUGACUGGAUCUCUUUUACCAUGAAUUACAAUGUUUAGUCAGUCCUUGAUCUUUAAAGGUGCUCUGCAUUUAUGUUUUGCGGUCUCAAAAAGGGCUAGCGAGAUACCAUCUUGUUAUAUCAUAUCAUGAUUGUUUUGAGAAAGUGUUUUCAUCCGAGUUUUAUUAUUAUUGCUUCCUAGUUGAUUAUGCCAUUGAUAUGAGUAAACAUGAGACCUAAGUGUUAUUGUGAAUAUGGCUAGUUCAUAAUCUUUGCUGAAAACUUGAAUGCUGGCUUUACAUAUUUACAACAACAAGAGCAAACAGAGUUUGUAAAAGUUUUUCUUUAUCACUUUCAGUUUGUCAACUGAAUUGCUUGAGGACAAGCAAAUGUUUAAGCUUGGGGGAGUUGAUACGUCUCCGUCGUAUCUACUUUUCCAAACACUUUUGCUCUUGUUUUGGACUCUAACUUGCAUGAUUUGAAUGGAACUAACCCGGACUGACGCUGUUUUCAGCAGAACUGCCAUGGUGUUAUUUUUGUGCAGAAAUAAAAGUUCUCGGAAUGACCUGAAAAUCCACAGAGCAACUUUUCAGAAUUAAUUAAAAAUACCAUCGAAAGAAAUAGCGUCAGGGGGCCCACACCCUGUCCACGAGGGUGGGGGCACGCCUCCUCCCCCUGGGCGCGCCCCCUACCUCGUGGGCCCCCUGGACAUCCACCGACCUCAACUCCAACUCCAUAUAUUGGCUUUCAUGGAGAAAAAAAUCAGAGAGAAAGUUUCAUCGCGUUUUACGAUACGGAGCCGCCGCCAAGCCCUAAUCUCUUUCGGGAGGGCUGAUUUGGAGUCCGUUCGGGGCUCUGGAGAGGGGGAUUCGUCGCCGUCGUCAGCAUCAACCAUCCUCCAUCACCAAUUUGAUGAUGCUCACCGCCGUGCGUGAGUAAUUCCAUCAUAGGUGUGCUGGACGGUGAUGGGUUGGAUGAUAUUUACCAUGUAAUCAAGUUAGUUUUGUUAGGGUUUGAUCCCUAGUAUCCACUAUGUUCCGAGAUUGAUGUUGCUAUGACUUUGCCAUGCUUAAUGCUUGUCACUAGGGCCCGAGUGCCAUGAUUUCAGAUCUGAACCUAUUAUGUUUUCAUGAAUAUAUGUGAGUUCUUCAUCCUAUCUUGCAAGUCUAUAGUCACCUAUUAUGUGUUAUGAUCCGACAACCCUUAAGUGACAAUAAUCGGGAUACUUCUCGCUGAUGACCGUAGUUUGAGGAGUUAAUGUAUUCACUAUGUGUUAAUGCUUUGGUCCGGUACUCUAUUAAAAGGAGGCCUUAAUAUCCCUUAGUUUCCACUAGGACCCCGCUGCCACGAGAGGGUAGGACAAAAGAUGUCAUGCAAGUUCUUUUCCAUAAGCACACAUGACUAUAUUCGGAAUACAUGCCUACAUUACAUUGAUGAACUGGAGCUAGUUCCGAGUCACCCUAUGUUAUAACUGUGACAUGAUGAACCGCAUCCGACAUAAUUAUCCAUCACUGAUCCAAUGCCUACGAGCUUUUCACAUAUUGUGCUUUGCUUAUUUACUUUACCAUUGCUACUGUUACAGUUACUACAAAACUGCUACUGUUACUUUUGCCACUGUUACCGUUACUUCCAUACUACUUUGCUACUAAAUACUUUGCUGCAGAUACUAAGUUAUCCAUGUGUGGUUGAAUUGACAACUCAACUGCUAAUACUUGAGAAUAUUCUUUGGGUCCCCUUGUGUCGAAUCAAUAAAUUUGGGUUGAAUACUCUACCCUCGAAAACUGUUGCGAUCCCCUAUACUUGUGGGUUAUCAAUCAUGUAAGUGUGCUAACAACAAACCACCUUAAAGUUGUCUUUCUAAUACGAGCCACCCCAAUGUCCGCUCAGGUCGCCCCAAAGAUUAUACUACGACAACAACAUAUGAUCUUGAUCGUUCUAAUCUAUUAUUCAUAGAGUUACCCAAUGUCACUUUUGGUCUCUGAAAAUUAUACUGGAUAAUCUCAAUGAUUCCCAAAAGAUUGAAUCCAAUAUAAAGAAACUUUAUAGAUGAGAAAGAUUCAUUUCACAAUAUAGAGAAUAGAGGAGAAUACAUAUUUUAUUUUAUUUUUUGGUUCAACUGAUGAGAAGCAUUGCUUUGACAUGGAGUUGUCGCUUGGUUGUGGUUUCGUUGUCAUUGUGGUGCGUACUUGCAGUCGUGUCGUUGCGCUAACAAGGCACUAGAGACAAUUCCAUGCUGGCGAAGGUCCAGCUCCAUGGUCACAACCUCCCACUGACACCAUGCCCCAGUCCUUUUCUCCAGCACCCAUUGAUACGUCUCCAAUGUAUCUAUAUUUUUUUAUUGUUCCAUGAUGUUAUAUUAUCAUUCUUGGAUGUUUAAUAUUCAUUUUAUAGCAACUUUGUAUCAUUUUUUGGGAUUAACCUAUUAACAUAGUGCCCAGUGCCAGUUGCUGUUUUUUGUAUGUUUUUUUACUUCACAGAAUAUCCAUAUCAAAUGAAGCCCAAAUGCAGCGAAAGUUUUCAGAGAUUUUUUCUACCCAGAAGAGCCCAGGGAGCCCAGGAGGUGCACCAGAGGAGGCCCGUGGGGCCCAAAAGACACCAGGGCGCACCCGAGACCCUAGCGCGCCCUAAUGCCUUGUGGGGCCCACGGGAAGCUUCUCCACCGCCUCUUAGCUCUAUAAAUACCUAAAUAUUCUAGAAACCCUAGGGGAGUCGACGAAACACAAUUCCAGCCACCGUAAGUUCCAGAACCACGAGAUCCAAUCUAGAGCCCUAUUCUGGCACCUUGUCGAAGGCGGAAAUGAUCACGGAGGGGUUCAUCAUCAUCAUUGGUGCUCCUCCGAUGAUGCGUGAGUAGUUUUCCAUAGACCUACGGGUCCGUAGGCAGUAGCUAGCUGGCUUCUUCUCUCUUUUUAAUCUUCAAUACAAUGUUCUCCUCGAUGUUCUUGGAGAUCUAUUUGAUGUAAUGAUUUUUUGCGGUGUGUUUGUUGGGAUCCGAUGAAUUGUGAGUUUAUGAUCAGAUCUAUCUAUGAAUAUUAUUUGAUUCUUCUUUGAACUCUUAUAUGCAUGAUCUUUAUAGCCUCGUAUUUCUUCUCUGAAAUUUUUGUUUGGUUUGGCCAACUAGAGUGAUUUUCUUGCAAUGGGAAGAGGUGCUUUGUGAUGGGUUCGAUCUUGCAGUGCUUAUUCUCAGUGACAGAAGGAGACAUGACACACUUGUAUCGUUGCCAUUAAGGAUAAAAAGAUGGGGUAUAUUCCUACAUGAAUAGAUCAUGUCUACAUCAUGUCAUCAUUCUUAUUGCAUUACUCCGUUAUUCCAUGAACUUAAUACACUAUAUGCAUGCUGGAUAGCGGUCGAUGUGUGGAGUAAUAGUAGUAGAUGCAGAAUUGUUUCGGUCUACUAAUCGUGGACUUGAUGCCUAUAUACAUGAUCAUUACCUUGAAUAUCUUCAUAAUUAUUUGCUCUUCUAUCAAUAGCCCAACAGUAAUUUGUUUCCUCACCAUAUCCUAUUUUCUCGAGAGAAGCCACUAGUGAAAUCUACGGCCCCCGGGUCUAUUUCCUAUCAUAUUGUUUUCAGAUCUAUUAUUCCAAAAACCCAAAAAUACCUUGCUGCACUUUUUCUUUAUUUAUUUCAUUUCAUGUUUUUGCUAGAUCUAUUUAUCCAAUCUCAUACAAUUUAUUCUAUCUCAAUACAGAGGAGGGAUUGACAACCCCUCUUAUGCGUUGGGUUGCUGAUACGUCUCCAAUGUAUAUAUAAUUUUUGAUUGUUCCAUGCUAUUAUAUUAUCUGUUUUGGAUAUUAUAUAUACGUUAAUAUACUAUUUUAUAUCAUUUUUUGGGACUAACCUAUUAACCUAGUGCCUAGUGCCAGUUGUUGUUUUCCUUGUUUUUGGCUUUUUCAGAAAGGAAUAUCAAACGGAGUCCAAACGGAAUAAAACUUUCGCAAUGAUUUUUCUUGGACCAGAAGAUACCCGUAGUACUUGGAGAGGGGGGCAGAAGCUUCCCGAGGAGACCACAAGCCUCCUAGGCGCGCCCCGGCUUGUGGGAGGCCCCUCGAGAGUCCUCCAAUCUUAAUUCUUGCUCUAUAAAUUCCAAAAUAUUCCCAGACCACCAGAAACGUCCACCAAAAUACUUUUCCGCCGCCGCAAGCCUCCGACCUCGUGAAAUCCCAUCUUGGGACCUUUUCCUGCGAUCUUCCAAAGGGGGGUUCGAUCACGGAGGGCCUCUACAUCAACCCUAUUGCCCUACCGAUGAUCCGUGACUAGUUUACCACAGACCUACGGGUCCAUAGCUAGUAGCUAGAUGGCUUCUUUUCUCUCUUUGAUCUUCAAUACAAAGUUCUCCUCGAUGUUCUUGGAGUUCUAUCCGAUGUAAUACUUUUUUGCGGUGUGUUUGUUGAGAUCCGAUGAAUUGAGGAUUUAUUAUCAGAUUAUCUAUGAAUAUUAUUUGAGUCUUCUCUGAAUUCUUAUAUGCAUGAUUUGAUAUGUUUGUAUUUCUCUUCGAACUAUCGAUUUGGUUUGGCCAACUAGAUUGGUUUUUCUUGCAAUGGGAGAGGUGCUUAGUUUUGGGUUUAAUCUUGCGAUGUCCUCACCCAAUGACAUAGUAGGGGUAGCGAAGCACAUAUUGUAUUGUUGCCAUCAAGGAUAAAAAGAUGGGGUUUACAUCAUAUUGCUUGAGUUUAUCCCUCUACAUCAUUUCAUCUUACUUAAAGUUUACUCCGUUCUUAUGAAUGUAAUACUCUAGAUGCAUGAUGGAUAGUGGUCGAUGUGUGGACUAAUAGUAGUAGAUGCAGGCAGGAGUCGGUCUACUUUCCAUGAACGUGCGCCUAUAUUCAUGAUCAUUUCGUUAGAUAUCAUCAUAACUUUGCUCUUUUGUAUCAAUAGCUCAACGGAUUUUGUUUACCCACCAUAUGCUUUCUUGACGAGAGAAGCCUCUAGUGAAACCUAUGGGCCCCGGGUCUAUUUUCCAUCAUAUAUUUUCAGAUCUAUAAACCAAAAACCCAAAAUACCUCGCUGAGUUUUAUUUACUUUUAUUUUGUUUGACGUUUUAGUAAUCUUUUAUAUCUGUAUCUCUCAGAUCUCAUCCUUGCAAAGUGACCGUGAAGGGAUUGACAACCCCUUUAUCGUGUUGGGUUCAAGUGUUUGAUUGUUUGUGCAGGUGCAUAGACUGGAGACUUGCUUGUACCUCCUACUGGAUUGAUACACUGGUUCUCAAACGUAGGGAAAUACUUAUCUCUACUUUGCUGCACCACCCUUUCCUCUUCAAGGGCAAACCCAACGCAAGCUCAAGAAGUUGCAGGAAGAAUUUCUUGCGCCGUUGCCGGGGAGGUUCUACGUCAAGCCUACCAAGUACCCAUCAUAAACUCUCAUUUCUUGCAUUACAUUAUUUGCCAUUUGCCUCUCGUUUUCCUCUCCCCCACUUCUAAAAGUUUUUCAGAAAAACACAAAUAUAUUUACCUUUUUAUUCGCCCUUCUUUUGUUCGUCUUUUUGUUUCCUUUUUGGUUGCUCGUGUGCUAGAUUGGUUUCUUGCCACCAUGGCUGAAUCUGGGGAGGGCAUCAUUGAAAAGGAUAGUAGUAAUCUUGAGGGAAACCUUGAUGACUUUGCUAUAUUGAUCCUCAUGAAGAACCCACUAUCAUACAUACUAAAAAACUCCGCAUCAGUAGUGGUAAUAUUAUUGGAAAAGGGGUUAUCCAAGAUUUGUUUACUUGUGCUGGUAAGAUACCCAUGCUAGGAGGGUCAAUCCUUAAUAAAACUAAUAGACUAGCAUAUGCAAUAUCUUUGCUUGUGAUUGAGCUUGAAAGACAAUUUUUUUCUUAUGCAUCCGCGUAUACAACGGAUUUUCCUAGAGUUCUCUAAUUUUCAUCAUCCUUCCAUUAAACGUGUUGCCACCAUAUUCCUAGCUCAUGAAUUUAGAUUUAUUUUAAAAGAAGCGGGUGACAUAUUUGCUCAUUAUAAUAUCAAUGGUGGUUGUCCUCCCAUAGGGGAGAUCCUUUUUAAUCAAGAAGAAAUAAUGAGAUUGCAAUCUCCUGAUUAUGCUGCUUAUAAUGAAAACUUGAGAAAAAAGGUUCCUCCUGAUGUUUUGGUUGAUAAGAUUUCUGAACACAAUGACAAUUUUUCUAUACAAAAUAAAGUAUAUGGGUUUGUGCUAAGAGAUAGAUUAAGAGAAUUCACUCAAAGGAAUGUUUAUAAUGAAGAAUUAAUUAUUAAAUACAAAGGGCCAAAGGAGGAACCUAUUCCUCCCAAACUUGAUCUUAUAGAUCCAUACCCUAUCAAAUUUAGUCCCUUUAAUUAUUUUUGCUUGCCACAAAGAAAGGUUGUUUCCGAGAGGAGGGAGUAUUAGAUGAGCAUGGAUGAUCUCCCUCACUUCUAUUACAAUACCUAGAUCAUUACAAUAUGCCUAGCUAGGGGCGUUAAACAAUAGCGCUUGUUGGGAGGCAACUCAAUUUAUUUUUGUUUUUAUUUUUUGUUCCUGUUUUCCAAUAAAUAUAUCUUCUAGCCUUUGGUUAGAUGUGUUUUUAUGUUUUAAAUUAGCGUUUUUGCAAAGUAAGACUUUUGCGUCCAGUAGAAUAAUUUUGAUAAUUCACAGGAACGUGAUCUGGUUCUAAUUUUUUACAAAACAUUUAUAUACAAAUUUCCUAGAUUGUCCUAAGUUUUCAGAAUUUUUGGAGUUACAGAAGUAUACGAAAUUUCUUGAUUACUACAGACUGUUCUGUUUUAGACAUAUUCUGUUUUUAUUGUGUUCUUUGCUUAUUUGAUAAAUCUAUGGGUAGUAUCGGGGGUUAUGAACCAUGGAGAAGUUGGGAUACAAUAGAUAUAACACCAUAUUAAAUUUUAGAAUGAGUUCACAAUAGUACCUAAGUGGCGAUUUGCUUUUCUUAUACUAACGGAGCUUAUGAGUUUUCUGUUGAGUUUUGUGUUGUGAAGUUUUCAAGUUUUGGGUAAAGAUUUGAUGGACAACGGAAUAAGGAGUGGCAAUAGCCUAAGCUUGGGGAUUCCCAAGGCACCCCAAGGUAAUAUUCAAGGACAACCAAGCAUCUAAGCUUGGGGAUGCCCCGGAUGGCAUCCCCUCUUUCGUCUUUAAUCCAUCGAUAAAUUUACUUGAGGCUAUACUUUUAUUCACCACAUGAUAAGUGUUUUGCUUUGAGCGUAUUGUAUGAUAUGAGUCUUUUCUUUCUAGUUUGCCACAAUCAUCCUUGAUGUACACACCUUUUGAGAGGGACACACAUUAAUCAUGAAUUUAUUAGAAUACUCUAUGUGCUUCACUUAUAUCUUUUGAGCUAGGCAGUUUUGCUCUAGUGCUUCACUUGUAUCUUUUUAGAGCACGGCGGUGGCUUUAUUUUAUAGAAAUCUAUGAACCCUCAUGAUUCACUUAUAUUAUUUUGAGAUCUUAAACAGCAUGGUAGUUUGCUUAGGUUAUGAAAUUAGUCCUAAUUUGAUGGGCAUCCAAGAGGGAUAUAAUAAAAACUUACAUAUAGAGUGCAUUGAAUAUAUGAGAAGUUUAAUUCCUUGCAUUUGUUUUGAGAUAUAAAUAUGAUGAUAUUAGAGUCAUGCUAGUGAGUAAUUGUGGAUUGGUAGAAAUACUUGUGUUAAAUUUUAUGAUUCCUGUAGCAUGCACGUAAGCUGAACCGUUAUGUGAUGAAGUCAGAGCAAGAUUUAUUUUUUUGAUUGCCAUCCUUUAUGUGGAGGUCGGGAUCACGCAAUGGUUAACUCCUACCAAUCCUUCCCCUAGGAGCAUGCGUAUUAGUACUUUAUUUAAAUAGUUAAUAGACUUUUGCAAUAAAUAUGUGAGUUCUUUAUGACUAAUGUUGAGUCCACGGAUUAUACGCACAUUCACCCUUCCACCAUUGCUAGCCUCUCUAGUACCAUGCAACUUUCACCGGUGCAUUAAACCCACCAUAUACCUUCCGCAAAACAGCCACCAUACCUACCUAUUAUGGCAUUUCCAUAGCCAUUUUGAGAUAUAUUCCCAUGCAACAUCCACCGUUCCGUUUAUUAUGACACACACCAUCAUUGUCAUAUUGUUCUCAUAUGCAUGAGGCAUUCAUAUAGAGUCAUAUCUUUGUUCUAGCAUUGAGUUAUAAUCCUUGAGUUGUAAGUAAAUAAAAGUGUGAUGAUCAUCAUUAUUAGAUCAUUGUCCCAUGUGAGGAAAGGAUGAUGGAAGCUAUGAUUCCCUCACAAGUUGGGAUGAGUCUCCGGACUUUAAAGAAAAUAAAAGGAGUCCAAGGAAGCCCAAAUAAAAAAAGAGGCCAAAGAAGCCCAAACAAAAAGAAAAAAAAGAGAAAAAAGAAGAAAAAGAAGAAAAAAGAGAGAAAAAUAGAGAAGGGACAAUGUUACUAUCCUUUUUCCACAUUUGUGAUUCGAAGUAGCACCAUGAUCUUCAUGAUAGAGAGUCUCCUAUUUUGUCACUUUCAUAUACUAGUGGAAAUUUUUCAUUAUAUAACUGGGCUUGUAUAUUCCAAUGAUGGGGUUCCUCAAAUUGCCCUAGGUCUUCAUGAGCAAGCGAGUUGGAUGCACACCCACUUAGUUUGUUUCUGAGCUUUCAUACACUUAUAGCUCUAGUGCAUCCGUUCAUGGCAAUCCUUACUCACUUGCAUCGAUAUAAAUUGAUGGGCAUCUCCAUAGCCUAUUAAUUUGCCUAGUUGAUGUGAGAUUUUCUCCUUCUUUUGUCUUCUCCACAACCACCAUAUUCUAUUCCACCUAUAGUGCUAUAGCCGUGGCUCAUGCUCAUGUAUUGCGUGAAAGUUGAAAAAGUUUGAGAGCAUAAAAGUCUGAAACAAUUUCUUGGCUAACACCGGGGUUGUGCAUGAUGAAAUACUUUGUGUGAUGAAGAUGGAACAUAGCCAGACCAUAUGAUUUUGUAGGGAUAACUUUCUUUGGCCAUGUUAUUUUGAGAAGACAUGAUUGCUUUAUUAGUAUGCUUGAAGUAUUAUUGUUUUUAUGUCAAUAUUAAACUUUUGUUUCGAAUCUUAUGGAUCUGAACAUUCAUGCCAUAAUAAAUAAGAUUACAUUGAUAAAUAUGUUAGGUAGCAUUCCACAUCAAAAAUUAUGUUUUUAUCAUUUACCUACUCGAGGACGAGCAUGAAUUAAGCUCGGGGAUGCUUGAUACGUCUCCAACGUAUCUAUAAUUUUUGAUUGUUCCAUCCUAUUAUAUUAUCUAUUUUGGAUGUUUUAUAUACAUUAAUAUACUAUUUUAUAUCAUUUUUUGGGACUAAUGUAUUAACCUAGUGCCUAGUGCCAGUUGCUGUUUUUUCCUUGGCUUUUUUAGAAAGGAAUAUCAAACAGAGUCCAAAUGGAAUAGAACUUUCAUGAUGAUUUUUCUUGGACCAGAAGACACCCGUAGGACUAGGAGAGGGGGCCAGAAGCUUCCCAAGGAGCCCACAAGCCUCCUAGGCAUGCCUCGGGGGUGGGCAUUCCCUGAGGGCUUAUGGGCCCCUCGGGAGUCCUCCAACCCUAAUUCUUGCUCUAUAAAUUCCAAAAUAUUCCCAAACCACCAGAAGCAUCCACCAAAAUACUUUUCUGCCGAUGCAAGCCUAUGACCUCGUGAGAUCCCAUCUUGGGACCUUUUCCGAUGAUCUGACGAAGGGGGAUUAGAUCAUGGAGGGCCUCUACAUCAACCCUAUUGCCGUAUUGAUGAUGCGUGAGUAGUUUACCACAGACCUACAGGUCCAUAGAUAGUAGCUAGAUGGCUUCUUCUCUCUCUUUGAUCUUUAAUGCAAAGUUCUCCUCGAUGUUCUUGGAGUUCUAUCUGAUGUAAUACUUUUUUGCAAUGUGUUUGUUGAGAUCCGAUGAAUUGUGGAUUUAUGAUCAGAUUAUCUAUGAAUAUUAUUUGAGUCUCCUAUGAAUUCUUAUAUGCACGAUUUAAUAUCUUUGUCUUUCUCUUCAGACUACCAAUUUGGUUUGGCUAACUAGAUUGGUUUUUCUUGCAAUGGGAGAGGUGCUUAGCUUUGGGUUUGAUCUUGCGGUGUUCUCACAUAGUGACAUAGUAGGGGUAGUGAGGCACGUAUUGUAUUGUUGCCAUCAAGGAUAAGAAGAUGGGGUUUAAAUCAUAUUGCUUGAGUUUAUCCCUCUACAUCAUGUCAUCUUACUUAAAGUGUUACUCCGUUCUUAUGAACUUAAUACUCUAGAUGCAUGCUGGAUAGCGGUCGAUGUGUGGAGUAAUAGUAGUAGAUGCAGGCAGGGGUCGGUCUACUUGUCACGGACAUGAUGCCUAUAUCAUGAUCAUUGCCUUAGAUAUCAUCAAAACUUUGUGUUUUUCUAUCAAUUGCUCAACACUAAUUUGUUUACCCACCAUAUGCUUUCUUCAAGAGAGAAGCCUCUAGUGAAACUUAUGGCCCCCGGGUCUAUUUUCCAUCAUAUAUUUUCAGAUGUAUAAACCAAAAACCCAAAAAUACCUCACUGAGUUUUAUUUACUUUUAUUUAUUUUUAUGUUUUUGUAAUCUUUUAUAUCUAUCUCUAUCAGAUCUCAUCUUUGCAAGUGACCGUGAAGGGAUCGACAACACCUUUAUCGUGUUGGGUGCAAGUGUUUGUUUGUUUGUGCAGGUGCAUAGAUUGGAGACUUGCUUGUACCUCUACUGGAUUGAUACCUUGGUUCUCAAGCUGAGGGAAAUACUUAUCUUUACUUUGAUGCAUCAUCCUUUCCUCUUCAAGGGAAAAACCAACGCAAGCUCAAGAAGUAGCAGUUGUAAGUAUUUGUUAUUUGUGCGCAGGUACUGUUUACAUAGUGUUGCUUGGUUCUCCUACUAGAUUGAUAACCUUGGUUUCAUAACUGAGGGAAAUACUUACCAUUAUUGUGAUGCAUCAUCCUCUCCUCUUCGGGGAAAUACCAACGCAGAUACAAGCAAUCAAGAAGAUUUUCUGGUGCCGUUGCCGGGGAGACAUCAUCAACAUCUAUCAAGUACCCAAUUACAAAUCUCAUCUCCUUUCAAUUUACUUUAUUUGCCAUUUGCCUUUCGUUUUCAUCUCCCAACUUCUAAAACAUUUUUGCAAAAACACAAAAGUAUUUGCCUUUUUGUUUGCCUUCUUUUCGUUUCCCUUUUCUCGUUCGAUAUAUUGUUUGCUUGUGUUCCAUGUGCCUUCUAUUUGCUCGCAUCUUUUCUCGCUAAAAAAUUAUUGACAUGGAUCCCCAUCCACUUGCUAAUCUGUUCAAAAGAUCCAAUUAUCAUGAACCAAUUAGUGGUGAGUUGAAUGCAGUUGAUUAUCUCUAUGAAGUUUUGCUUGAAAGUCAUGAAUCAAAAAAUUGCAAUGAAGUGUUGAAAGAAGAAAUUUAUAAAGUGAUUCGUGAUAGCUCCUUCAAUGAAAAGCAUGAUUGCAAUAAUGUUACUAUAAAUUCUAUUAAUGUCAAUUGUGUUAAUGAUAUGCAAAACCCCAAGCUUGGGGAUGAUGAUUUGUUAUUUCCACUACUUAUUGCGAUGAUCAUGAUUGGGGUGAUGAUGCUUCUUAUGAUCUUGAAAAUUUAUUUAAGCCUCAUGAUGAAUAUGUUAUUGAUAAUAAUGUUUGCAAUAAUAUUGAAAGUGGGUUUGGAAGAGUGUCAACUUUAGGUAAAAAGAAUCCCACAUAUUUUGAGAGUGUUCAAUCUCAUGAAAUUUUUGAUAAAAGUUGGUUUAGAGAUGUCUUGACUUUAGUUGAUGUUAAUCCCACUAUUUUGGAAGACUAUAAGACUUUUAUGCAUGUGGAUCAUGAAGAGAAAAUUUUAUAUGAUAGUUAUAUUGUUGAAUUUGAUUAUGAUACUACAUGUAAUUAUUAUGAGAGGAAAAUAUGGUCGUAGAAAUUUUCAUGUUACUAAAUUACCUCUCGUUAUGUUGAAAUCGUCAAUGUUUUAUUCUUCUCCUUUGCAUAUGCUAGAAAUCGCUUGUCUUAAUAAUUUGUUUUCCUAUAAAUGCAUAUGCAUAGGAAUUAUGUUAAACUUAAAUGUGUUGGUCACAGGUUUUAUGAUGCUCUCUUUGUGCUUCAAUUCUUGUCUUUCAGCAAGCAUCAUUAAAAUUAUCGAUGCCUAGCUAGGGGAGUAAAAUGAUAGCGCUUGUUGGGAGGCAACCCAAUGAAUAAAAUAUAGUUUUUCUCUUUUUGUUUCUGUUUUUGUGUGUUCACACAAUUACGCUACUGCUGUGAUUGUGUUUUUAUGUUUUAAUUAGUGUUUGUGUCAAGUAAAGCCUUUAGGAUCAUGUUGGGUGAUAGUUGAUUUGAUCUUGUCGCAAAACAGAAACUUUUGCGCCCAGUAUCAUAAUUGUUAAAAAUCACAGAAGCAUGAUAAAGGUUUAAAUUUUCUACACAAGAUUGAUAUACAAAUUUCCUACGUUUCCUAAAUUCUCAGAGUUUGUGGAGUUACAGAAGUAUGGUGAAAGUCCAGAUUACUACAGACUGUUCUGCUUUUGACAGAUUUUGUUGCAUUGUGUGCUUAUUUUGAUGAACCUAUGGAUUGUACUGGGGGGUAUAAGCCAUGGUAAAGUUAGAAUACAAUAGGUAUAUUUCAAUAAUAAAAUAUGAAUGGGUUUGAAACAGUAUUUAAAGUGGUGAUUUGCUUUAUUAUACUAAUGGAUCUCACGAAGGUUUUGUUGAGUUUUGUGUGAUUGAAGUUUUCAAGUUUUGGGUUAGAUCAUGAUGGAUGAAGAAAUAAGGAGCGAAAAGAGACUAAUAUUGGGGAUGCCCAUGGCACCCCAAGAUAAUAUGGAAGGAGAACCAACAACUGAGCUUGGGGAUGCCCCGACAGGCAUCCCCUCUUUCUUCUAGAGACCAUCAGUAAUUUUACUUGGAACUAUAUUUAAUUCGUCACAUAUCAUGGGUUUUGCUUGGAGCGUCUUGUAUUAUAUGAGUCUUUUCUUGUUUUUCUUUUUAGUUUGUCACAAUCAUCCUUGCUAGACACACCUAUUUGAGAGAGCCAUAAUGAUGCUAUGAUUUGUUAGAAUUGCUCCAUGUGCUUCACUUAAAUUUUUUGAGCUAUGGAAUUGCUCUUGUGCUUCACUUAUAUCUUUUUUAGCACAAUGGUGCUUUAAUUUUUUGAAGAAAUACUCCCAUGCUUCACUUAGAUUAAUUCGAGAGUUAGUAAUUUUUUGAAUAAAUUCUCUCAUGCUUAAUUUAUAUUAUUUUGAGAGAUGAAAAAAAUUGUUAUGCUCAUGUUCUUCACUUAAAUUUAUUUGAGAGCUUGUUAUAAGCAAUGGUAAUAUAUGAAAUUAGUCCAAAAGUGAUAGAUAUCCAAGGGGGAUAUAACAAAAACUUUCAUGAAGAUCAUUGGAUAUUAUAAAAUUGAUACCUUGCAAUAGUUUUGAGAUAUGGAGAUAGUAAUAUGUGAGCCAUGUUGGUGAGUAAUUAUGCUUUAGUAAGAAUAUUGGUGUUAAGGUUUGUGAUUCCCUAUGCAAGCACGCAAGUCAAUAGUUAUGCAAUGAAGUUAUAUCCUACUUGUGGUGCAUUAUUCAGUGUUAGUUAUGGUUAAUGGUCGUUUAUGAUUGUUUUUGUUUCUUGGUUGGUUGCUUCUCAAUAUAUUUGCUAGCCUUUCCUUGCACUAAGUGGGAAUACUACUGGUUCAUCCAAACUCUUUAAACCAAGUUGUGCCAAUGAGUCCACCAUACCUACCUAUAUGCGGUAUUUCCAUGCUGUUCCAAGUAAAUUUGUAUGUGCCAACUCUAAUUUUCAAAAUUAAUUUCCUUUUUGUGUGUCUGUACCGCUCAUGAAGUGGCAAGGGGUGGCCAAUAUUUUUCCAUGCUAGAUAUGUUAUUCUCAAGAUGAGUGUUUAUUCACUUGUCAUUGCACGAGAGUGUGGAGGUAAUAGGGAUGCCCAGUCCUGAAAUAAAAAAGAAAUUUACUUUAUGUCGUCAAAUAAUAAAUUCCUUGAAAAGUGUUGGUAUGGAAGGCAACCGUAGAUACGGCUAGCCAUGGAUUGUGAAAGAAUGGUGAAAAAAAUGAAUAAACUUUAUUUUAUGUUUGGAAACUGCCUACGAUGUAUCUAGCAUGGAAAGUGUUGAGAAUUCUCGGUCAUUUUCGUUGACAGGAAAAGCAUGCCUCUCAAAAUAUUUUUAUCUCUCAAUUUAAUCUUUGAGUUCUGGUGCCUGUACAAAUCUCUGCUGCCCUCUACGAAGGGCCUAUCUAUUUACUUUAUGCAAUUUUUGAUUUUUAUUUGAGUCUGCAUCUUCUCUUAUAAAGCACCAACUAGGGAGCACUAUGAUCAUAUGUGUGCAUUGGAUGUAGGUAAUAUUCGAGUGUGUUUCACGAAUGGAUCAAUAAUUGAGCAUGAUGGGCUAGGGAUAACUUUCUUUAGUGUUGAUAUUUUGAAAGACAUGGUUGCUUGUUGAUAUGCUUGAGUAUUGAUGUCUUCAGACUAUUGCGUUGAAUCAUCUAAAAGUCCAAUGUCCAUGCUAGAAAAGAAAAUAAUAUGUGAUGAACAUGUUAGGCAGCAUUCCACAUCAACAAUUCUGUUUUUAUCAUUUACCUACUCGAGGACGAGAAGUAAUUAAGCUUGGGGAUGUUGGUACCUCUGCAAUGUAUCUAUAAUUUUUUAUUGUUCCAUGAUGUUAUAUUAUCAUUCUUGGAUGUUCUACAUUCAUUUUAUAACAACUCUAUAUCAUAUUUUGGGACUAACCUAUUGACAUAGUGCCCAAUGCGAGUUGCUGUUUUUUGCUUGUUUUUUUUGCUUCGUGGAAUAUCCAUAUCAAACGAAGUCCAAAUACAGCAAAACUUUUUGGAGAUUAUUUUCUGCCCAAAAGAGACCCAAGGAUCCCGGAAGGUGCACCAAAGGAGGCCCGUGGGGCUCACAAGACACCAGGGCAUGCAAGAGGCCCCUGGCACGCCGUGAUGCCUUGUGGGGCCCACAGAAAGCUUCUCCACCGACUCUCAGCUCUAUAAAUGCCCAAAAAUUCUAGAAACCCUAGGGAAGUCGAUGAAACACAAUUUGAGCCGCCGCAAGUUCCAGAACCACGAGAUCCAAUCUACAGCCCUAUUCCGGCACCUUCAUCAUGUUGGUUUGAUUUGUGUUCACUACUUUGAUAAUUUUAUAUGUGGGUGGACCGGUGCUUGGGUGUUGUUCUUACUUGAACAAACCUACCACUUAUGAUUAGCCCCCUCGCAAGCAUCCGCAACUAUGAGAAAAGUAUUAAGAUAAAAUCUAACCAUAGCAUUAAACAUUUGGAUCCAAAUCCGUCACUUACGAAGUAGUGUAUAAAGUAGGGUUUAAGCUUCUGUUACUCUAGCAACCCAUCAUCUAAGAACUACUCCACGAUGCAUUCCCUUAGGCCCAAGUAUGGUGAAGUGCCAUGUAGUCGACCUUCACAUGACACCACUAAGGGAAUCAAAACAUAGAUCUCAUCAAAAUAUCAAACACAUAUCAAGUUCACAUGAUUACUUGCAACAUGACUUCUCCCGUGACCUCAAGAACAAAAGUAACUACUCACAAAUGAUAAUCAUGCUCAAGAUCAGAGGAGUAUUAAAUACAUAAUGGAUCUGAACAUAUAAUCUUCCACCAAAUAAAACAUAUAGUAAUCAACUACAUGAUGUAAUCAACACUACUAGUCACCCACAUGUACCAAUCUGAGGUUCCGGUACAAGAAUUGAACACAAGAGAUGAACUAGGGUUUGAGAGGAGAUGGCGUUGUUGAAUAUGUUGAUUCGCCUCCCAAAGAUGAGAGGGUUGUUGGUGAUGACGAUGGCUUCGAUUUCCUCCUCCGGGAGGGAAGUUUCCACAGCGGAAUUGCUCCGCCGGAGGGCAAAAGUGCUCCUGCCCAAAGUUCCGCCUUGAGACGGAGGCGCUCCUUUCCGAAAGUCCUCUCCUUAUUUUUUUUCUAGGUCAAAAUGGCCUAUAUACCAGAAGAUGGGCAUCGGAAGUGGGCUGGGCUGAGCACAACCCACCAGGGCGCGCCUGGGGGGCCUGGCACGCCCUGGUGUCUUGUGCUCACCAGGUGGCCCCCCGGUAGUUAUUUGCUUCAGUAUUUUUUAUAUAAUCCAAAAUAAUUCUCCAUAAAUUUUCAACUCAUUUGUAGAUGUGCAGAAUAGGUAACUCUAACAUAGCUUUUUCAGGUCUAGAAUUCCAGCUGUCGGCAUUCUCCCUCUUUGUGUAAAUCUUGCAUAUUAUGAGAGAAAGGGCAUUAGAAUUACUCCAUAAAGCAUUAUUAUGCAUAAAAACAUUAUAAAUAACAGUAGGAAAUCAUGAUGCAAAAUGGAUGUAUCACCCCCCAGCUUGCUUCACUCUUGACGAGGAUGAGCUUUCUCAAGUUUUCAAAUGCCUCAACGGCAUGAAAGUUCCUUCCGGCUACCAGAGACUCAUACACAGGUAUCUUGACUUGAAAAAGCAAUGGUUCAGCAACGUGAAGUCACAUGAUUGUCAUGUGAUGAUAACACAAUCACUUUUGAUAGCUCUCAGAGGGAUAAUGGAUGAUCACGUCCGUAACACACUUAUUGACUUGUGCAACUUUUUCGACGCUAUGUCUCGAAAGUCGAGCAGUGUGCGACAUCUGACAUGACUACAAGAGGUGAUCAUUUCAAUACUAUGUGAACUUGAGAUAUAUUUCCCAACAUCAUUCUUUGAUGUCAUGGUCCAUCUACUAGUUCAUAUUGUUGUGGAGGUUAAAGACCUUGGAUUGACAUUCUUGCAUACCAUGUUCCCAUUUGAACGAAUGAAUGGAACUGUGAAGGGAUACGUUCAUAACAAAGCCCAUCCGGAUGGAAGCAUCCACUAGUACAACGAGGUGCUACACAAAUGGUUUUUAACCCCUUUCUGCGACGGCAUUUGGAACCGUCGCAAAGUGAGUGUGGGUGAUAGGUGGGUCCUUCCCACACGACCCAGAAACCGUCGGGGAUAGGCCCUCUGGCCACACAUGCUCGGCAAAAUGAGGUCAUGUGUGACGGACGAGCGAUCAAAUAUGAUUAUACGUACAAUUGUAUUAAAAAAUACAAUUAUACAGGUCAAAUUGUUUCCAAUCAUAAGUACAUCCCACACAGUCAGUCCCAGCUAAACGUUUUCGUUCGUAUGUACAUUCCACACAGUCAAUCUAAGGAAUACGUUUCUGUCGUGGAAUUAACACGUCAGAUGUCCUUAGUGUGAGGACUUAGUCGCGAGGCCAACGCAUCUAUGUGGUAGCUUGAGAGGGGUUGAGCGGAAUCGAGAGACGCAACACAAGACAAGGAUUUAGAUAGCGUCGGGCCCCGGGAAACAUCAUCCGGAAUAGCCCUACAUGCUGUUUGAGGCUAGGUCUCAUUAUGCUCAUGAGAGAGUCGCCGCAUAAGCUGGCUCUCCCUUUGUGUCUAGCCCUAGAUAUUGUUUCUUGUCCCUCCUUGGGGAGCCCUGCCCCUCCUUAUAUAAGUUAGAGGGGCGGGUUACAUGUGGAGUUCUAGUAGGACUAGGACUAGUCUAUCUUCUCUUACAAGUUAAAUACAAGUCCGGGUCUUGCUUCCUCAUAAAGGAAAUAUUUGUCAUCCCUUUCCUCUUAAGACGGCCCAUCAUAACGUGAGCCGGCCUUCUGGGCUUUGGGCCUUGUUGUCCAUCUGACCCGCCCGCCGGGGUACUAAUGAGUCAGCAAUAUUGGGCGGGUUAUCUGUGAAUCGCCAAGCUCUAGGCGGGUCACCAGUGAGUCACCACGCUCCAGCCGGGUCUUCUGGUGAAUCGCCAAGUCCGGGCGGUCAUAACUCUCGCCGGGUCAUUCCGCGGGGUAUAUCCCCGACAUUAGCCCCCAAUUUAAUUUGGAUUUAUCCAUGUUAAACUUAUCCUGCAAAAUAAACACCAGAACAACUUUGUUAGGUUGUGCUCCGGGUUAAAAAUUCUUGUAAGUUGGCACUUGAUCAUCUUUAAGUCCUUAUCAUUUCCUUCUUGACACAUGCCCAUGAACUCGUAGCAAAUCUCCUUAGCAGAUAUGUUCCAACUUUGUCAAUGCAAAAAAAUCCAGAUACUUCUUUUUGAAAAAUCCGGGUCAACAGGCCAGCUUCAGAAUCAAUUUGCUGACAUUGGUCUCUUGUAGAGAAAUAUUGUAAUAAAUAAUCCACUUGAGUUAGCUUCCAAAGCGCCGGGUUAAAUAAUUUUGGUCUUCAAAUACUCAUCUGAUAUUCAGCCAAUUUGAAGAUGUAAAACUUGUCGGUUUAUCAUUACCAAAAACUGCCAGAUUAUAAAACAGACGAUGCUGGGUCAUAAUUGUUGUUGACACCGGUUUAUGUAAUUGAUCCUCCUGAUUUGCUCAAAACUGAUAAUUUGAAGAUUUUUCUCCCUUAUAUCCAUAUUACCUAUAGCCCCCAAGUCUUGAGCAGAACAAAGUGAUGGUUUAAGACUUGCUCCAAUAAAUGUUGCAACCUUGAAGAAAUCCGGUUUAUUCAUCUCAAUAAUAUAAACUGAAUAUUCCACACAUGUAGCCCCCAAGUGCCGGGUUGCCAUGCUUGCAGCAACUUGGGACUUGUAAUUGCUUUAUGCUCAUGAAAACUUCAACCAGUGUAGCCCCCAAGGGCCGGGUCAUUAUGCAAUAAUGAGCAGGGACUUUGUAGAUAUAACCAUGUAAAUUUGAACAGCAAUGUGUAACCUCCAAGGGCCGGCUUAGCAAGAUAAUACUGAGCUGAGACUUUGUAUAUAAUUGAUAAUAACAUCAUAUAAUAUAGUCUCGACCAUGGGGCUUGAACCCACGUCCACAAGGUUAAGAGCUUUGUACUUCACCAACUAAAUAGUGGACAGUUUAAUAUAAUGGAUUAAUGCUUGUGUACCUUGAAUAUUUGAUAGGAGCAAUUAGUAGCCCCCAAGGGCCGGCUCAUUACGAUGUGAUGAGUCGGGUCUUCAAUGAGGUGAACAAAAAUGACUUUGUAUUAGCCCCCAAGUGUCAUGGUGCAUACUUGCAGCGACAUGAGACUUGCAUAUUUGAUGUAACCUCAAUUUGAAUAAUGUAGCCCCCAAGUGCCAGAUCGUAAGCCUGCAGCGACUCAGGACUAUUCCUUCCAUUGUAGAAUAAAUCAUAUCCAUUAAUAAAAUAAUAGCCAUUGCGCCAAAGCGACUUUGAAUACCUCAUCUGUUGAUAAGUAAAUCCAGAGUUUAAAUACCCGGCGGCUCUUGGCCGAUGGCGAUUUAAUACACCUCCAUUGCAAGCCGGAAUUUUUAUAACCCGACGGCUUAUAGUCUUUGAGAAAAAUCCAGAACGGAUAUCAACUUUGGUAAUGAGCUUGAACUUAAUCAUUUAUAUGUCAUAUUUCUGCAAAUCCUGCAAAGAGUUUAAACAACAUAUGCCCUGGCGACUUAACGUCAAAAGCCAGGGCAGGUAACCACCCAAAUGUAGUCUUAUCCUGCCCACAAGUAGAUCACAAGAUCCCUAUGAUCCUUUGAAUGAUACCGCCAGCUUAUGUGACCCACACAGUGAAGUUGAUAACUCAACUCUGUAAGAGCCGGCACAUAUGAUAUUUGUGGCAACUCAAAUACUUGCGAUUGUAUAAAAAACAGAUAAAAUUUUUGAGGCUUCUGAUUCGAAUACGAUUAGUAAACCAUUCCAAAGGGGUUAAGCUAAGAUUCGAAUACGAUCAUAUAGCCCCAGUGGCUUUGGCGAUGCCGAUCAAAGUGGGUAUCGACAGCUAUGUUCUCUUUGGUUCGAAUACGACCCAUGUUUGAAUAGGAAGCCCCCAAGUGACCUUAAGAGUUGUUUAGCGACACUGAUUCUAAUACGAUCCACGUCGAUUCCCAAAUGGGUUGAGCUAUGAUUCGGAUAUGAUCAAGAAACCCCCAAGUAGGUUCAGCAGUUUGCUAAUCAAAAGGGUAUCGACAACUAUGUUCUCUUUGGUUCGAAUACGACCUAUGUUUGAACAGGAAGCCCCCAAGUAACCAUAAUAAAAUAAGCCGUAAGGCAGGAUCCCUAUGUUUGAACCGCGCAUCAUGGCAGCAAGUUCUUUUUGGCAACCUUUAAUUUUUCUGAGAACUCGAACUUGCGAGAGAUGAAUUCUUUUGAACUGGAACUUUAAACCGGAUUUUAAAGCUUCAAAAAUUUGUGAGGGACAAAUUUUACCUUGAGCCGGAUUUUGAACCGGAUUUGAGAGCUUCAAAGCUUUGUGGUAGAUAAAUCUCCGUUGAACCGGUUUUUAAACCGGAUAUUAAGAGCUUCAGUGCUUUGUGGGAGAGAGAUGUCUCCUGAACUGGAUUUUGAGCCGGAAAUCUUCUAACGGCCUUUAAAUUUUCAUCGAUCUUGCAGUAAUCUCCGAGCCCGGGUUAUUUUUCCCCUCAAUGACCCGGAGUUCUUGAAUUCACUGAAACCGACUAAUUUUGCUGAGUCAUACCAUUGUAGCCCCCGAGUCUCAAGACGACUCGAGGAGUUGACUUGAGAUUCUCCAUUUUUGACCAGAGCAGAAUGUGUAUAUCAUCGACGUUGAUAGCGCGAUGUGAAUCCGCAGAAGGUUGAGGUGACUGCGGUGGGUUAUAAAUGAUCCCGUGUGAGCCGUGUCAGCAACUCGGCCAAUGGCUCCUUCCAACUGGUUGUUUGAAGUUAACCAAACUGUAGUGGCGGCGACUUGUGCGCCUGCCUAUUGAACCCCAUCCAGUGCAGACGGCGGUUGAUAAUAUAUGAUAAUUUGCCGCCAAUUUGUUGGAAGAGAAACCGAGCUUCCCAAGUAGUGACUUGCUCAUACUCAAUGAACAGCUCACGCAGACAGGUGCGGCCCGGUGUGUCGAUGUAGACCAGGCCACGAGAGACGGACGGUAAAGACGACUGCAACAUCUAAGGCGGUACAGACAGAUAAACCGGCCGUGGCAUUGUAAGCCGGUGCGUACGGGCAAGUUGUCCUCCUUGUUGUAAGCCGGCGUGGUCGCGAGAGACGACCACGACGUUGUAAACCGGUGCGGGAGUCCGUUGAGUAAUAACGACCACCUGUGCCAAAAGAUGUUGGCGUGCCUCCAUCUCCGCGGUAUAAUAUCACUUUUUAUCAUAAAUAAUUGCCCUGCAUAAACAAUAUUGCAGACCAAGGCAAAGAUAAACCUGUUCUUUGACAAAAAACAACACGUGCUAAUAAAACAAACUUGGAUGGAUAUCACCUGAUUUGUUCACACGACAGAUGAUCCGUUUAUCGCGACAGAGGUGGCUCAGGCAGACCGGCGACUCAAUAUAGUUCCGGUGGCUCAGGCAGAUCGGCGACUUAAUAUAACCCCGGCGGAUCAAAGCGGUAAGGGCGGCUCAACGCGGCUCCGGCAGGUUGAUGUAGAUUAAGCUGCACGGGCGGCGACUCACGCACACCUGUUCCAUCAGUAAGCGGGCACGGACGCCGGGGCGUGAUGAUGCUGACGCACACUUCAUAGGCACAACAUGGCACCACCUUUGCAUGAAGUUGAUGAUCACCAUGGUGAAGUUGGAAUCAAUCAUGGGUAAACCGGCCGCGACGUUGUAAGCCAGUGUGGACGGGGAGAGUCGACGGCGGCAUUGUAAACCGGUGGAGACGAGACAGUCGGCCGCAGCAUUGGAAACGGCACGGACGUGGGCGAGUCGGCCGCGGGCGCGGACGAUGAGUUAGUCGCGUAUGUUUGAUGUAGCGGGGGCGGCGACUUGCGGAUGUAUCCGUCCAACAGCACGGCACGAACGUGCUAGUGCAAAAAUAAUAUUGGCGCACGCCCCUUUACGACACCUUUGUAAUGAAUAAUGGUCCUGCGAAAAAACACCACAAACGAGAGUAAUUGUUCUCAAACAAAAUAUGUGUUGAUAAAAUUCUUAGGAAAAACAACACCUGUUUUGUCGGGCAAACACAUCUCCUCUGGCUUUCUCUGUUUUAUCUAGGAAAACACGCUAUGCAGCAUAAUAUCAAAUUGUAGAUUGAACCGUGUGUGAGGUACUGUAGGUGCAUGAAAAGUGAAUAAUAGAUGCAUGUGAUUAGCACUCUGGCCGCAUACACGUAGUAGGUUUUUCUCCUUCUUCUCUUUUGUCUGCUUCUGCCUGCCUUGUCAAUGUCUUGCCUAAAAAAGAGCCACAUCAUGCAAAAGAUCUUCAGGCGCCUCACAGCAACGACGGGUGAGGGCGCAGCAUAGCAGGAGGACAACCGCUCGAGGACAGGGUCGACUUGAAGCGGCUGGACACGGUUGCGGGGGCGACUCCGGCUCGUAGGCAGGAUGCGGGCGGGCCGCGGUAGAGGCCGGAGCCGGCAGAGGUGAGUUGGAGAGGCGGCGAUUCAAUCCAACCGUGACGGUGACUCGGUGAGGCCGUGUGUCGAAGGCAGACAGCCGGUGAUGCGCGGCUACGGCCGCGGAGGGCGGUGACUUGGCGAUGGCGGAGGCGGCGACUUGCGCAGACGAUGGAGGUGGGUUAGGCGGCCGGCUGAGGCAAGUGAGAGGGUUCGGGGCUGCAAGCCCGGGCGGCUUAGAAGCAGCGCCAGGCCGGGGCGACUUGGAAGCGGCGGCGACUCAACGCUGGCCAUAGUGGAAGUGGUUUAUCGCGCAGCAAGGGGCUGAAAGCAAAGACGAGGCGAGUCAGCCCGUCGGCGGAGACAGCGUAAGUCGGCUGCAUGUUAAGGCGGCGGCAGCCAUUGACCACCGCGGUGACAACAGUAACGAGAGCGGGCACUCGGGCGGCUGCGGCCAAAGCCGUGGAGGCACAUCCGGCAGCGGUGGAGCAAGAUGAGGCAGGCGGCUCCGAACGAUGUCCGAGGCCGAAUCCUAGUAUGUGUCUCUCCGUUCUGUUUGGUGUCAGCAAGAGAAAAAACCUUCCUUUCUUUUUUACUGGAUCCGUAUCGACCAAAGUCUGCAGGACUUGCACGCUGCUAGCUUGCCUCUGAUCGAUCUCUCUUCUCUUGGUAUUCAGGUGCUGAACCCACCUAGUAACUUUUCCUUCCUUCAUUCUUAAAUUAACCUUCUAGUAGAUUCCUUGUAUGCAUGUAGCAAUCGGAAUUGACCAGAGAAAAACCGAUUUGGCUUCUGGUGAUGUACUAGUCGAAGAUAUACUAGUACUGUAUUUGAACCAUUGGGCUUGAUGCUUGAUGUGAUGGAAACAAUGCCAUUGUCUGUACUUUUCACUUGAUCCGCAGCUUCUGCCGCUGUUGCCUUUGGUUUCCGCAUUGGGAGUAGCAGUAACAGUACCGGUUGAUUCCUUGGGUAUUGGAACGGUGUCCAAUCAGCAAAAAAGGCUUCGGGCAAAUUGAUGGUCUUGGCAACACGCGACUGCGGCCGUAAAUAAUUCAUCCACUAUUCGGAUUCGACGGAUUGCGUUGCAUCGGUGACAUACAGAAGAACGCCAAACCCUAAAUUCCCUUAACUUAAUCUUACAUAUGUCACUGCUGAAUACUUCUUCAAUCUUGACCGAUGAACUCAUAGUAGAUGUGAAUCCACGUCGGCUCUUGUUCAGUCAGAAAAUUGCGAUCCCUGGGAGAGAUCCCUCCAAGAACUCAACACCACCGUGCGCGGGCCCCACGGUGGGCGCCAACUGUCGUGGAAUUAACACGUCAGAUGUCCUUAGUGUCAGGACUUAGUCGCGAGGCCAACGCAUCUAUGUGGUAGCUUGAGAGGGGUUGAGCGGAAUCGAGAGACGCAACACAAGACAAGAAUUUAGAUAGCUUCGGCCCCCGGGAAACAUCAUCCGGAUUAGCCCUACAUGCUGUUUGAGGCUAGGUCUCAUUAUGCUCAUGAGAGAGUCCCCGCAUAAGCCGGCUCUCCCUUUGUGUCUAGCCCUAGAUAUUGUUUCUUGUCCCUCCUUGGGGAGCCCUGCCCCUCCUUAUAUAAGUUAGAGGGGCGGGUUACAUGUGGAGUCACUAGUAGAAAAGGGGGCAAUGGUCCAGGCCGGGCCAGCCCAUUAGUCCCGGUUCCAUCCAGAACCGGGACCAAUGGGGGCAUUGGACCUGGUUCGUGAGCCCAAGGGGCCGGCCGGGCCACGUGGGCCAUUGGUCCCGGUUCGACUGGACCUAUUGGUCCCGGUUCGACUGGACCUAUUGGUCCCGGUUGGUGGGACGAACCGGGACCAAUGGGCCUUGCUCCUGGCCCACCACCAUUGGUCCCGGUUGGUGGCUUGAACCGGGACCAAAGGCUGCCCUUUAGUCCCGGUUCAAGCCACGAACCGGGACCAAUUAGUUGCCUAUAUAUACCCCUCGCCCGCGAGCAGAGCACUCCCAGUGCUCUGUUUUUCGUGGCCGGCGAGGGGAGAGCUUUGUGGUGCUCUAGCUCACCUCCUAUGCACACGAGGUGUUCGAUGGAAUGCCCGAGCCACACUACUUAAGCUUUCUCCUCUCCAAGCUCGACCUCCAAGCUCCAUUUUCCUCAAUAUUUGUCUAGGUUUAGCGGUCCGUCACGUCCCGUCCCCGUCUUCACCGCCGUCGAUCGCCCGCGCCGAUCUCAUCGUCGGCACCACUGUGGUGAGCCUCUUGUUCUUAUCUUCUUUCUGAAAGGAAAAAAAAUUCUUACUUGUAUGUUUAUAUGGAUACUUGUAUAAUUUUCUUACUUUUAUUAUUGCAUCUUAUAUAGUGCGAUGGUUUUGGUAUCCACCCCCGUCGGCCCUCGUCAUGUCUAUGAUUCGGAUGUGGUAUAUAUUAUCUUUUCAUAACUAUUGGUUCAUUUAUUGUUUAUGACAAUUAUGCCGACCAACGUGACAUAGAUUUUAUUUAUCUAGGAGGUUGUUGAACCAGAAAUUCCAACCGACCCUAUUGUCGAGAGGUUAAAUUUAGUUGAAGAAGAAAACAAUUUGUUGAAGGAAAAAAUUAGAAAAAUUGAGGAGGAGAAGAUGAUAUUGGAGUUGCAUGUUGCGGAUGUUGUCGAUGAUCACAAGAUCAAGAUGGAUGCAAUGCGCUUGAAGAUUAGAAAGAUUAGAAAAUAUGCCAUUCAUACCGAGGCUUGGUAUCAUUAUGUCGUUGGAUCAGUUGUUACAUUGGUUGCGAUUAUGAUUGCAUUUGUUUUCGCAUUGAAAUGUUUUACAUAGUUUCAGUGUAUGGUUUAAUUAAUUUAGAUGCUCUGCAGAGCUUUAUGUUGUUAGAUGAGAACUAUGUAUGUACUUUGGUUUUAAUAUGAUGAUGAACUUCUAUUAAUUUGGUCACUUAAUUAUCUAUUUAUGAUGUUCUGUAAUGAUUUUUGACACACUUAAUUAUAUAUAAUGCAUGCAGAUAAACCGACAAUGGAUGUACGGUUCAAGACACACCUCCGAGUACAUUAAGGGCGUGCAUGAUUUUCUCGAAGUGGCUGAGGCAAACAAGCAGAAUGGUUUUAUGUGUUGUCCAUGCCCUAUAUGUGGGAAUACGAAGUCUUACUCUGACCGGAAAAUCCUCCACACCCACCUGCUUUACAAGGGUUUCAUGCCACACUAUAAUGCUUGGACGAGGCACGGAGAAAUAGGGGUUAUGAUGGAAGACGGCGAAGAAGAAGAGUACGAUGACAACUAUGUGCCCCCUGAAUACGGUGAUGCUACUGAACAUCAAGAGGAACCAGACGAUAUGCACGAUGAUACUGCAACGGGCGAAGCUGCUAAAGAUCAAGAGGAACCAAACGAUGUGCCCGAUGAUGAUGAUCUCCGCCGGGUCAUUGUCGAUGCAAGGACGCAAUGCAAAAGUCAAAAGGAGAAGUUGAAGUUCGAUUGCAUGUUAGAGGACCACAAAAAGGGUUGUACCCCAAUUGCGAAGAUGGCAACACAAAGCUCGGUACCGUACUGGAAUUUCUGCAGUGGAAGGCAGAGAAUGUUGUGCCUGACAAAGGAUUUGAGAAGCUACUGAAAAUAUUGAAGAAGAAGCUUCCAAAGGAUAACGAAUUGCCCGACAGUACAUACACAGCAAAGAAGGUCGUAUGCCCUCUAGGAUUGGAGGUGCAGAAGAUACAUGCAUGCCCUAAUGACUGCAUCCUCUACCGCGGUGCGUACAAGGAUCUGAAUGCAUGCCCGGUAUGCGGUGCAUUACGGUAUAAGAUCAGACGAGAUGACCCUGGUGAUGUUGACAGCGAGCCCCCCAAGAAGAGGGUUCCUGCGAAGGUGAUGUGGUAUGCUCCUAUAAUACCACGGUUGAAACGUCUUUUCAGAAACGGAGAGCAUGCCAAGUUGAUGCGAUGGCACAGUGAGGACCGUAAGAAAGACGGGAAGUUGAGAGCACCCGCUGACGGGUCGCAGUGGAGAAAAAUCGAGAGAAAGUACUGGGAUGACUUUGCAAGUGAGCCAAGGAACGUAUGGUUUGCUUUAAGCGCGGAUGGCAUUAACCCUUUCGGGGAGCAGAGCAGCAAUCACAGCACCUGGCCCGUGACUCUAUGUAUGUAUAACCUUCCUCCUUGGAUGUGCAUGAAGCGGAAGUUCAUUAUGAUGCCAGUUCUCAUCCAAGGCCCUAAGCAACCCGGCAACGACAUUGAUGUGUACCUAAGGCCAUUAGUUGAAGAACUUUUACAGCUGUGGAAUGGAAACGGUGUACGUACGUGGGAUGAGCACAAACAAGAGGAAUUUAACCUAAAGGCGUUGCUGUUCGUGACCAUCAACGAUUGGCCCGCUCUCAGUAACCUUUCAGGACAGACAAACAAGGGAUACCACGCAUGCUCGCACUGUUUACUUGACACCGAUAGUAUAUACCUGGCAAGCUGCAGGAAGAACGUGUACCUGGGCCAUCAUCGAUUUCUUCCGACCAACCAUCAAUGUCGAAAGAAAGGCAAGCAUUUCAAAGGCGAGGCAGAUCACCAGAAGAAGCCCGCCAUGCGUACCGGUGAUCACGUACUUGCUAUGGUCAAUGAUUUACACAUAAUCUUUGGAAAGGGUCCCGGCGGACUAGCUGUUCCGAGUGACGCUGGGGGACACACACCCAUGUGGAAGAAGAAAUCUAUAUUUUGGGACCUACCCUACUGGAAAGACCUAGAGGUCCGCUCUUCAAUCGAUGUGAUGCACGUGACGAAGAACCUUUGAGUGAACCUGCUAGGCUUCUUGGGCAUGUAUGGGAAGACAAAAGAUACAACUGAGGCAUGGGAGGACCUGCAACGUUUGCACGAAAAAGAUGGCAUGCCUCCAAAGCAGUAUGAAGGUCCUGCCAGCUAUGCUCUUACCAAAGAAGAGAAGGAAGUCUUCUUUGAAUGCCUGCUUAGUAUGAAGGUCCCGACUGGCUUCUCGUCGAAUAUAAAAGGAAUAAUAAAUAUGGCAGAGAAAAAGUUUCAGAACCUAAAGUCUCAUGACUGCCACGUGAUUAUGACGCAACUGCUUCCGGUUGCAUUGAGGGGGCUUCUACCGGAAACGUCCGAUUAGCCAUUGUUAAGCUAUGUGCAUUCCUCAAUGCAAUCUCUCAGAAGGUGAUCGAUCCAGAAUCAUACCAAGGCUAAGGAGUGAUGUGGUGCAAUGUCUUGUUAGUUUCGAGCUGGUGUUCCCACCAUCCUUCUUCAAUAUCAUGACGCACGUCCUAGUUCAUCUAGUUGACGAGAUUGUCAUUCUGGGCCCCGUAUUUCUACACAAUAUGUACCCCUUUGAGAGGUUCAUGGGAGUCCUAAAUAAAUAUGUCCGUAACCGCGCUAGGCCAGAAGGAAGCAUCUCCAUGGGCCAUCAAACAGAGGAUGUCAUCGGGUUUUGUGUUGACUUCAUUCCUGGCCUUAAGAAGAUAGGUCUCCCUAAAUCGCGGUAUGAGGGGAGACUGACUGGAAAAGGCACGCUUGGAAGGGACUCAAUAAUGUGCAGGGACGGAUAUUCUUGGUCUCAAGCACACUACACAGUUCUACAUAACUCUACCUUGGUGACCCCGUAUGUCAAUGAACACAAGAACAGUCUGCGCUCCAAACACCCGGAGCAGUGCGACGACUGGAUUACAUGUGAACACAUCAGGACUUUUAGCAGUUGGUUGGAAGAACGUAUUAGAGGUGACAACACUGUUUGUGAUGAGCUGUACUUGUUGUCCAGGGGACCAUCUUUGACUGUAUUGAUUUGGAAAGGAUACGAGAUAAAUGGGAAUACAUUUUACACGAUUAACCAAGAUCAAAAGAGCACCAACCAAAACAGCGGUGUCCGCUUUGAUGCAACAACCGAGAGGGGAAAGGACACAUAUUAUGGUUACAUAGUGGACAUAUGGGAACUUGAAUACGGACAUGAUUUUAACGUCCCUUUGUUUAAGUGCAAAUGGGUCAAUCUGUCAGGAGGCGGGGUACAGGUAGACCCACAAUACAGAAUGACAACAGUGGAUCUGAAAAAUCUUGGGUACACUGAGAACCGUUCAUCCUAGCCAAUGAUGUGGCACAGGUUAUCUAUGUGAAGGACAUGUCUACCAGACCGAGAAAGAGAAAAGAUAAGGAAGCGAAUACAUCAUACGAUGAGCCAAAGCGCCACAUAGUUCUUUCAGGAAAAAGGGACAUCGUGGGAGUGGAGGGCAAGACAGACAUGUCUGAAGAUUAUGAAAAGUUUCAUGAAAUUCCCCCCUUCAAAGUCAAGGCUGACCCCAGCAUCCUGAUAAAUGAUGAAGAUUAUCCAUGGUUACGGCGCAAUAAGCAAAUGACACAAGCGAAGAAAAAGUGAUGACUUUCUCCCGCAACUAUUAUGAUGAUACCAUGCCAACUUUGUAACUGACAAGUAUGAUACCAUUGUCCGUUUUGUACAUGCACAUGCUAUGUGGGUCAAUUUAUGAUACCAUGCCAACUUUCAACUUUUUCAGAGUUCAUUUGAAAUGCUUUAAUGUCUUAUGGUUCGGCCCUCGUAAUAAUUAAAAAUAGCACCAAUAAGUAUUUUGUUGUAAGUAGAAACAAAAUAAAAUAAAUAAAGCAAGAAAGAAAACAAAAAAAAACAAAAAAAGUGUUUUCAAAUUUGAAAACUAAUGGCACUAACAGAAAGUUUAUA